GCGCGGGUUCUUCUAAGGGCGCGUACGGUGAUUCUCCGUUUGGGCGCUUGUACACGGUGAGCAAGUUUCACACGCUUCGGUUAUGUUAUUUUGCUUUCAAAAUCGAAAUUAGUUUAAUAUAUUCAUCGAAUCGAAUCGACAGGCCCUAGAUGGCUAUGGUCCGAACGCUGAUACUGGCUACGGUACGAACACUGAUGCUAGUAAUGAUGAUGAUCACACCCCUAUGUAGUUGUACAGUCUUUAUGGGGACAUAAGUGGUGACAGUGUACAGAUAUUCACGGAGGUACCUCCUGGUGUAAGUUUGGACAACCAUACAGACCGUCGUAUAUCUUUGGCAGUCCUUACUUGAUUCCUCCUUUCAAGAGUGUUAGGAUGUCAGGCGUCUACCAGCACUCAAAAUUACGGACUAUGAGUUUGAUGACAGAUCGAGUGUGGAUAUAAAUCCGUUUAGGGGACUAGAAGAUUCAAGGCUAUGUGAGGAGUUUGAUCAGUGGUUUGCCGGUAGAAUUUUCCUGGAUCGGCUCGUCCAACAGUCCCGAAAUUUCUUUGAAAUACUCGUGGGCAAUGCUUCGAUGGGGUGACUUAGUAACGAGGUAAGUGUGCUUAAUGGUCAACACAUUACAAUAUUGUUCAUCUUUUCGCUGGCCUAAAUUAUGUUCUAAAUUUACUUGGUUUAAUCCCUCCACAGCAUAUUCACACAUUUUACCUCUUGAUCAGUGAGAAGCAACGACAAUUUCCAAAUUCUACUGGUUCUGCAUAUGCCAUGACCAAUGAAUCUUUAGAGUAAUAAUCAGAGCAAAGACUUAUGUAAUCCACACGGACGAUCAGACAAGCAGCAAUUGCAUGCGCACAAACAAGCUGAUCGAGUUGGAACACUCUACAGGAGCAAGUUCUUUCAUAAAUGUCAACUAUCUCUUCCUUCAUACCACCACCCAAAACAUGAAAUCGAUGCUGAGACACUGGCCGAACGGUCAUUCUUUUGGCCAAAAUUCUCCUUUCGCCGACUAUUUCAUCUGCCCACGUCGUUAGACGAGUGCUCAUCGAUUCAGCCACAAUUUUCCUAUCAUAAAACCAUUGCUGUAAUGUUUUUCUAAAGUGAUCAACAAGAUGAGUAACAUGAAAUUUUCGCGGUUCCCUCAUUAAAGAAUUCACGCUUUCUGCAAUGUUGGUGGUAAGUAUGUUGUAUCUCCUACCUUCAAAUUCGGACCUUGCCCAAUUACACGUGCCCACAUUAUUCUCUAAGUAAUCAGCCGCGGCCGAGUGGAGCAUCCACAACCCUUCAAGUUGUCUUUUAAAUUCUUCGUGUCCAUAUGCCUUUGCUGCAUUAAUAAAAGCUGGCUCGAAUUGAUCCCAAAUAGCUUUGGACAUCCUGAAUUUAGACUUAAUGUUGCCUUUCACAUGGUAAAAACAAACUCCAUGACCAGCAGUGUGAAAUGCUUUUAAAACGGCUCGCUUGAUGGCAGUGCAUCGAUCAGAGAUAAAUACUAACUCUGGCCUAUCGCCAAUCACUCCGUGUAACUUCGUCAUAAACCAUUCCCAAGCAUCAUUGUUUUCUGAAUCCAUGACCCCAAUAGCUAACGGAUACAGUUGAUUAUUACCAUCCAGACAUAUUACUACAAACAUGCUUCCAUGAUAUAGCCCCUUCAAAUGAGUGCCAUCUACAGCAAUCACAGGCCUUAUGUACUGUGUGAAGCCCUUAAUGGAAGAUCCAAGCGCAACAAAGUAGUAUAAGAAAUUAUCAUCUCCAUCCCGCUGGAGGUGUGUCACUGUGCCAUCAUUCGCUUUGGUCAAAACGUGAGAGUAUUUGGGAAGUAAGUUGUAUGACUCUGCAGGGUUCCCUCGUACUAUUUCAAGACCGACUUCUUUAGCCCGAUAUGCUUGCUGAUAUGUUAACUGGACCCCGUAUUCUUGCUGCAUGUCUGCUCUAAUGUCAUUCGGCGUGUAUAUCCGUUUAUCCUGAAUAAAUUUAUCCGCGAUAAGAUGGCCAACAACCCGACUCCUAACUUGGCGGAGGCCACUAGGCAAAACCUCAUUAGAGCACGUAUGAACAUUGUCAACUCUUCUCACUACCCAAGGAACAUUAUGCUCAUCCGAACCUCUUGUUGCGCGAAGACGCCAAUUACAUGAUUCCGAAGAACAGUGAGCCUCAAAGCGUGUCGUUGUGGACCGUGCAAUCUUGAAAUCAAACUUUUCCCGCAAGGCCACUUUGCGCAAUUCCAGUAUUAACUCAUUCUUCUCAGCGAACAACUUUCCCACACCAAUGUCGGCAGAAUUACAGCUUCUAACUAAGUCUGGAGCAACCAAGUUUGAAGGCAAAACUGGAGCAAGACUUACCAGGGGAUCAACUGUUGUCCUCCUCCUCGAACGGGCCAUCGGAGGAAUAGGUCGAUUCUCUCUAUUGUUAACAGGAAUAUCAUACUGAUGCUCAUCCUCAUUAUUGAUAGGAAUAUCGGAAUGACCAGUGUCCCUAUCAUCAACUUCAGUAUUGGAGUUCAUGCCUUGCACAUUAUCAGCUUCUGUGUUGUUGGUGUUAUAACCAGGAUCAUCAUAACUGCGGAACUCAUUAUUUUGAAAUGGAGAGUAAUGUUGCCCUAACGAUGUCCCUAAUGGUAACACAUUAUCUUCAACAUCCGCUAUCGUAAUGCCAUUAUCAUCAAUAGUGUCAUUGUUUUCGUUGACUGGUGAGUAAUGUUGUUGGAACGACAUUUGUUGUGGUAACACCUCUUCCUCAAUAUCAGGGACAGACUCGUUUGCUCUAAACGAACUUUCACUUUCCACAAGUGGCUCAGGAUUUUCGGCCGGAACUCGAGGAUGUGUGGUGACAAAUAUAGGGAUGCAUCCAUAAUUGACCACAUCAGAGGCCAUGUGCAGCACAACAUUAACCAUUUCAUCAUUAAAUAUAUCCAUAGGUAGUGAACAUGCACGAUACAUUGUGUUACUAGAUCUCAAAGUUGUCUUCAUCGACAAACUAUAUUCAAUAGGAUUUAUCUGUAAAACUUCAUACACCCUUGCCAUAAAUUGCUCAAACGCACAAUCUUUCCGAACUAAAAAUGCUGUAUUCUUCGCAUUCACGUACUCCGUACGGCCAUCUGCUAAUGUCUCCCACCAACCGUCAUAACAUAAUUGAAAUACAACGGAAUCCAUUAAACCUAAAAAAAAAAACAAAAGAGAUAAGAUUUCACGCUACAAAACCUAGUAAAAAUGAAUAUGCAGUACAUUUAUGUGGAUGAAAUGAAAUAUACAAUUUUUGAUUUAUUUCGUCUCAUCGUAAGCUUCGAAAUGAUAUAUUAUACGCCUAAAACGGACACAUGUAGCCCAAGUUAUUACUUUCGGAAAAUAACUUUAAUUUAGUGAGACAGGCAGUGGGACAGGUGCCUGUCUCACAUAAAACCAGCAGAUUUAUGUGAGACAGGCGCCUGUCCCACUUGCCUGUCUCACAUAAAACCAGUGGUAACAAGUGAGACAGGCGCCUGUCCCACUUGCCUGUCUCACAUAAAACCAGUGGUAACAAGUGAGACAGGCGCCUGUCCCACUUGCCUGUCUCACAUAAAACCAGUGGUAACAAGUGAGACAGGCGCCUGUCCCACUUGCCUGUCUCACAUAAAACCAGUGGUAACAAGUGAGACAGGCGCCUUUGGAUUUAUUUCGUCUCAUUGUAAGCUUCGAAACGAUAUAUUAUACGCCUAAAACGGACACAUGUAGCCCAAAUUAUUACUUUCGGAAAAUUACUUAAAUUUAGUGAGACAGGUAGUGGGACAGGUGCCUGUCUCACAUAAGACCAGUAGAUUUAUGUGAGACAGGUGCCUGUCUCACUUGUUCUGGGCUUCUGUUUUACUCGAUUUUUCAAGGGUUUCAAUGAUUGAUUUUCAUUUCUCAACUUAAACUAACUUUAACAAGUCACAUUAUUUUGUUAAUGAAAAAUAACAACAUUUCCAAUAAAAACUCACUUCAAUUUUGAACUCAAAUGAUAAAAUCAAUAGAUUAAAAGUUUAGGUUAUGGUAAGAGUAUAAACUAACCUUAAGAAGCUCUCCAAUUGAUAAUUAUAUCUUCAAUUAUGUAAUGUUUGUUUGAUGAAAUAAAAUAUUUGUCCAAGUUCUUGUAGUUCACUAGUUCAUAAUCUUUGGGGCAGACUUGUCAAGUGGUCAUUUCCUUCCUUCUUUUGUAUUUUAGGCUCCCUCUGGUACUGGUGUCCUUCUUUCUUUUGUGUUUUAGGCUCCCUUUGGUACUGGUGUUGGUCGGGGUGAGCAUGUCGCGUUCGGUUUGGGAAAAUUAAGAUAAAUGAUGGAGCUAUUAGCAUCCCUUCCAAAAGUUUCAUAAAACCCAUUACUUGGCCACUUACCAUUUUGACCUUAAUUUCAAUUAUAUUAUAAAAAUAUAUAUCUCUAUUAAACUCACCUUAAUACUCUAAGGGCGAGUUUUAUCCUUUGAUUCUAAACAUAUAAUUUUUAUUUAAAAGUUAUAUUUAUCGAACACCGCUAACUUCAAUAAUAUCUUAUAUUAUUAUUACCUCCAUCAACGAACACCGCUAACUUUAUAUAAUAUCUUAUAUUAUUAUUACCUCCAGCAACAAACAGAGUCUCGACAGUAUAAAAGUACUAAAUUUGUAAAUAUAUAUGAGACAUAUAUCUAAUUGUAACUCAACCAAGUUAUUAAUUAAGUCUUGUUGACUAUUAUUUAAUAGCAUUACUUGGCCACUUACCAUUUUGACCUUAAUUUCAAUUAUAUUAUAAAAUAUAUAUAUCUUUAUUAAACUCACCUUAAUACUCUACGGACGAGUUUUAUCCUUUAAUUAUAAACACAUAAUAUUUAUAACUUUUAUUUAAAAGGUAUAUUUAUCGAACACCCCAAACUUCAUAUAAUAUCUUAUAUUAUUAUUAUCUCCAUCAACAAACAGAGUCUUGACAAUAUAGAAGUACUAAAUUUGUAAAUACAGACGAGACAUAUAUCUAAUUGUAACUCAACCAAGUUAUUAAUUCAGUCUUGUUGACUAUUAUUUAAUAGCAUUACUUGGCCACUUACCAUUUUGACCUUAAUUUAAAUUAUAUUAUAAAAAAUAUCUUUAUUAAACUCACCUUAAUACUAUAAGGAUGAGUUUUAUCCUUUGAUUAUAAACACAUAAUAUUCAUAACUUUUAUUUAAAAGUUAUAUUUAUCGACCACCACUAACUUCAUCUAAUAUCUUAUAUUAUUAUUACCUCCAUCAACAAACAAAGUCUCGAUAGUAUAGAAGUACUAAAUUUGUAAAUACAAACGAUAGAGACAUAUAUCUAAUUGUAACUCAACCAAGUUAUUAAUUAAGUCUUGUUGAUUAUUAUUUAAUAGCAUGAUUUGUGGUUGUGAUUUCCUAGUCUAAACUCUAUAAACCGUUGUCAAGCAGCGUGCUGUCUGGGUAAAAUUUAGUUAUUGCUUGACUUUGACAUUAACGCAUCCACAGAAUGAGAUGAAUUGAUGAUACCAACAAAUUUGAGCGUUCUAUUUUCCACAUAACAAGAUAGCAGAGUAGCACUCAAUCAAGUUAGCACUCAAUUCGGAAUUUGGGAUUCAGCUACCCCAAUUGAGCACGUUUCUAGAAAAACAGACAAAUAAAAUGAAAGUGGCAAUUUGGCAAUUAUUAUUUGUUACAGCUGACUAUAAAGAAUCAAAUGACAACAAUCUUUUAUGACUCUAAUUGAUUUUGGUCUAUUUUAUAUAACCCGGAUAUUUCUCAAUGAACAGAAUGAUAAUAUGUAAAAACUAAAUUAUGAAAAAAAAAAUGUUGAUCCUCUGCUAAUCUAUUUCCAAAACUUGCAACAGUCCCAUCGAGAGAGGGAUUAACAUGUCAUCAUGAUCAUAGAGUGGUGCAAUUCUUUUCCUAUUGCUGAAAGUUGAGAAAUUUUUUUUGUUAUUAUUACAUUUCGAUACCCUAAUUAAUCAUGUGAACACCAGUAAAUGUACCAUAUCAAUCAUCUGUUGAAGCAAGUAGUAUGAGGUUUGAAUCCACGCUCGCAUAAGUGGGAAGAGAAUUGAAUUGUUGUUAGUUUUUUUUUAAAAAAAAAAAAUUAUCCACCGUCAUCCGUUUUUUCCAACUUUUUUAAAAAUACAUAAUUCUUUUUUUUUUUUGAAUUCACCUGAAGUUACAUUUCUUUUCACUUUUUCACUUCUGUUUGGAAACCAUUAAGAAAACUAAUGAAAUAUUAUUUAAAUUAAUUUUUUACCCUCAAAUGUAAAAGAUAAAUUAUCCACCGAUCAUCUGUUUUUUCGUAUUUUUUCAAAAAUACGCAAUUCUUAUUAUUAUUAUUUUUUACUGAACUCCACUUGAAGUUAUAUUGUUUUGUACCUAUCCACAACUGUGUCGUUGUGAAAUGACAAUUUUACCCUUAUGAUGUUAGCAAAGUUAUAACGGUGUUAUAACGAGAGUGGACCAAUGAAAAAAAUAGUUAACUUCAGGUGGAGCGAUGCAAAAAAAAAAUUGUGUAUUUUUUAAAAAGGUAAGAAAACGGGUGGACGGUGGAUAAUUUCUCAAAAAAAAUUCGAACUGUAGAAGCCAUGACAAUCGAUGUGUUGAUGAACGUCCUUCUCAAGCUCAACAAGUUAUAUUACAAGGCAGCAUCAGCAUGCGUAGGCAUUGAUGCAUGCAUUUUUUUUUUUUAGCAUAUGUAACUGAUAAAUUAUAUCAAAUAGCACAUUAUUUUUUAUAGCACUUUAGAUCGGUAUAUAUCAUCUUAAACCAAACAACGUGGGUGAGAGCUCAAUGUCACGAACCACUCAAAUUCCAGGACAAAAAGACUAAAUGCACAAGCCAAGAUGUGCUAGCUUGGCUUGAUUCUAGAAGGUUCUAACUUUAGCAAACUCUAGCACUUUUUACACUUGUACAUAGAAAUUUCUAGAUCUUACAAGUAAUGAGGAAAUCCUCAAGCCUUGAGAACUUUUUGGACUUGGAACAUUCUAGAGCUAGGCAAAUCUUCCUAUAAACAAGGCACGACACUUAGCAUUUGUAUAGAUGCAUGAUCACGUCGAGUCGUCGACAAUACAAUUAAAAAUGGAGACUCGUUCCAUUUUCUAACACCAUAAUAAAAAAAACCAUGUUGUUGAGUAAUUAAAUGUCUACAAAUAUGAACACCACAAAUUAAUAUGGAGGUAGUUGCAGUAGGGCACAGCCGACGAGCCUAUAGAGAGCGACAUGCAUGCUCAAGAAAAUAAUUAACCUCAGCACUUUUCAAAGAACCCAGCAAGUUGUCAAUUGUUAUCCGUGUAAAAGAGUGUUUUCUCUCUUCCACUAUGGGUCAUGGUGAUUUUCCUCUAUAAAUGGUCUGGCAAGAAUUGGUGUUAGCAUAACACACCUUGCAAUUUCGUUUUUCUCCAUGGCUAAAUUCUUUUCCUCUCCCAAUACCUCUUCAACGGCUCCCGUCGUCUUGUUCGUUGUUGGGCUGCUAAUGGCUACCUUACACACAGCAAGUAUAUAUCUUAAUUUCUCGAGAAGUUAUCAAAACCUCUUUGUUGUUCGUAAAAAAAAUUAAUUAUUUUUUUUGCACGUUUCAAUUUCUAUCAAAAUCGCUUCUAGGAACUUGAUCAAGGGGUUUUUAAGCAAUUUUUUAGCUGAUCCUCUGUGAUCGAAUAUGAUUCUGUAGAAGAGAUAGUAAACUGAAAAUUUGAUUUUGGAAUUUAUCCAGUUCCUACAAUUUUUUUUUUUAAUCCAUCAAAACAAACCCAUACUUAUCUUUCAAUUUUCUGUGUUUUAAUAAUGCUUUACUUAUUACACAAUAUUUUUUUAAAACAUGGAGUUUUAAUUAGUGUUUUUACCACAUCAAGAAAAAAAUAAUGAAAGACAUAACACAAGUUAGGAUUUAACAUAACUUUUUUGGACAGAAUUUUUGAAAUAUAAGGUGCGAAAUGAUUACUUCACCGAAACCCAACGUACCCAUUUGAUCAUUUUGCGCUAUCCAUCUCUCUAUUCAUUAACUACUAUUUUAAGUUUUUAAUUUGUUCAUUAUCUAUGCAUUGCAUUUUACAGGUGCUCAAAUAGGUGUUUGCUAUGGAAUGAAAGCUAAAAUAUUACCAUCAAAACGAGAUGUCGUAGCUCUCUACAACCAAAACAACAUCAGAAGAAUGAGACUCUAUGAUCCAAACAUAGAGGCACUCGAAGCUCUCAGAGGCUCCAACAUUGAAGUCAUGCUGGGCCUUCCCAACGAGAACCUCCAAAGAAUCGCUUCCAAUCAAGCCGAAGCAAACACUUGGGUCCAAAACAACGUCCGAAAUUUUGCUAACAAUGUCAAGUUCAAAUACAUUGCUGUAGGAAAUGAAGCAAAACCUGGAGAUAACUUCGCUCAGUACCUUGUUCCCGCCAUGAGAAACAUACAAAACGCCAUCAACGGAGCCGGCCUUGGAAACCAAAUCAAGGUUUCCACUGCCAUCGAAACUGGAGCUCUUGGCGAAUCUUUCCCUCCGUCAAGAGGCUCAUUUAAACAAGAUUACAGACCCAUUCUUGAUCCCCUCAUUCGUUUCCUCAACGAAAACAGAUCCCCCUUGCUUCUCAACCUGUACCCUUACUUCGCAAUUGCUGGUAACCGCCAAAUAUCUCUGGAUUAUGCACUAUUUAGGUCACAACAGACGGUCGUUUCCGACGGAUCGUUAAGUUACCGAAGUCUUUUUGACGCCAUCUUGGAUGCUGUUUACGCCGCGCUGGAGAAAACCGGCGGGGGGUCUCUGGACAUCGUGAUAUCGGAGAGUGGGUGGCCGACGGCUGGUGGUGACGGGGCGUUGACGAAUGUUGAUAAUGCAAGGACUUAUAAUAAUAACUUGAUACAACAUGUGAAGCGAGGGUCACCAAAGAGGCCUGGAAGGCCUAUUGAGACUUACAUAUUUGCUAUGUUUGAUGAGAAUGGCAAAAUGGGACCUGAGAUUGAGAGGCAUUGGGGACUUUUUGCUCCAAAUAGGCAGCCUAAAUACCAGAUUAAUUUUAAUUAAUUAACUAAGCUAAAGCGACUGCAUGCACCAACAGGAUUCGAGGUAAUAUUUAUACUGGAAUAAAUUCUACUAUAUGUACUAGUGCAUAAGACUUUGUAUCACCACCUUGCAUGGGUGCAUGAGAGCAAAUUUCAUGAGCAAUAAUGUCAAUGUUUACUGUUUUGCAAAGCUUAAUUUAUAAUACUAUGUCCGAUCCUCAUUUGUGUACAACGUGUAGGACAAUUUAAAGGGAUGGUUGACGUUAAAUAACAAUAGGCUUAAAUUAAAACCAAAUGGUUAUCAUAUUGAAAACAAAACUGAAUUGAAUUUGAAAUUUUAGUUUGGUUCAGUGUAAAUUGAACUAUGUGUCCAGUCCUCUCUCUCUCUUUCUAAGAUUUGAAUUUAGAUGGCCAACUAGAAAUUAAAUCGUGUGAAAAUCAUUUGGUCAAGUCCCUAGCAAAGAGUUUUAUCCUGUAGUUGUUUUAUUAAAAACAUGAAAUAUAAUUGUUUGGUUAAGAACAUAUACAAUGCUUUUAAUUAUGGUAUAAAAGUAAAUCAUAAUUAUCGAAUUUUUGGAGCUUACAUUACCGCUACCGCUGUAUAACAUAGUCUAAUAUACAAGGAAAUAAUUUGUUGAAUAUAUCUAAUUAUAACACGAUCCAUUUUUCACUUGAGUCUUGUCGACUAAUACAUUAAUAAUAUGUUUUGUGCUUGUCAUCACUUGAUAAGAAUCAUACAAAGAUGAUGCAUAUACAGCAAGGAUCAAGAUCAUAAUGUGAUGCACAUGUGACAGCGAUAAGGACCAUAGUAAUAUACACACAUGGCAAGCAUCAAGAGCAUCAUGUGAUGCAUAGAUAGAAAGAAUCAAGACCAUUUAGACAUGCACAGAUGACAAUAAUCAAGACCAUUAUAUCAUACACAUAUGAAAAGUACCAAGAAUAAAAUUAAAUUUGAAAGCUGAAUUCCUCAUUUUCAAUUUUUGAUUAUUUUCCUUUAUGUUAUUUAAAAUCUUGUAUAAAUAAGCCUUUGAGCCAAUGAGAAUAAUAAGAGUGAAAUCUAUAUUUUCUCUUAAAAGUUUUCAAUCACCUUGUUUAAACUCUAGAAACCUUAUUCAAGCAGCCUGCUGACAGAGUGAAAUUUAGUUAUCGGUUGACUUGACAUUAACACAUAUGCAGAAGGUCGAUGAUGAUACCAACAAAAUUGAGUUUUCUAUUUUCCACAUAACAAGAUAACAAGUAGCAUUCAAUUGGAAUUCUGCUGCCUCAUUGAGCACGUAUCGAUAAAAAGAUUUAGAAUAUACAAAUACAAUAUUGAAAGUGGCAGUUUUGGCAUUAUUUGUUACAGCAGACAAAGACUUAGUUAACAUCUUCUUUCACUCCAAUUGAUUUUGGUCUAAUUUAUUGGUCCUGGCUAUUCCUCAAUGAAAAAUACAAUAUAUAAAAAUCAAAUUAUGAAAAAUAUAAUGUUUAUCCUCUGCUAAUCUAUUUCCAAAAAUUGCAGGAAUCCCAUCGGAUGGGCUAAAAGUACCAUAUCUUCUCAUAAAUUAACAUGUCAUCAUGACCAAAUAAAGGUGCAAUUCUUUUCCUAGUUUUAAAAGUUGAGAACUCUAAACUUUUUUAUUAUUAAUGCUGUUUGAGCAAGAGUAAGAAGCUUUAAUCCUUUCAGGUGAGUGGGUAGAAAAUUGAAUUGUCCUUAGGCUAACAUUUAAAAAAAAAUCAUAUUUGUAGAAGCCGUAACAAUAAAAUUUUGUUUCUAACGUCCUUCUCGAGCUCUACAAGUUAUUACAAGGCAGCAUCAGCAUGCAUAUGCAUGCAGGUUUUCUUGUGUAGCAUGUGCACCAGAUAAUUAAAUAUCAAUAAUUAAAAAUUAUUUUUUGAUAGCACUUUUGAUUGGUAUGAUCUUUAACCGAAAUGGAUCAAUUGAGUAAGGGCUCAUGCUCAUCAGCUCAUGCACAUGCAUGAAUGGCGACUUAAUUAAGCAACAAAUUAAUAUUAAAGCCACCAACAAGAUAUUUCUAAAUUGAGAACGUCUACAUAUUUUUGUAAUUUGUACAUGGAUCCUUUGAGUUAAAUGUUGUCACAUAUGCGUCGGCGUAUCUUCAAAAUAAGCAACCAUACGAUAAAGUAAAUUUAUACAGAAUGAUUAUAUAAGUAACACGUGACAUUAUACAAUAUUGGAUUUUUUCAUGACCACGUCGAUGAUAAAAUCUAAUCACGUCUUGCUCCACUUUUUAAUACCAGAUUAAAAAGAACCGCGUUGUUGAGUAAUUGAAUGUCAACAAAUAUGAACACCGCAAGUAUGGAGGAAAUUGCAGAAGGGCACAGCCAAUGAGACAAAAGAUAGCGACAUGCUCAAGAAAAUUAUUAACUUCAGUACUUUUCAAAGAACCCAAAAACAAACUGGUUGAGUACUUUGUUUCGAAAUACUUAAGAUGUCAACAUAUUAUCAACGUGGCAAUACACACACACACAUAUAUAUAUUUUUUCCUGCCAACAUGGUUCAUGGUUAUGGUUACUCUAUAAGAGGCUGCUUAGAAGAGGUGUUGGUAUCACAACUUUCCAUUUGCAUUUUUCUCUAUGGCUAAAUUCUUAUCCUCUCUCAAUACCCAUUCAAUGGUUUCCGUCGUCUUGCUACUGCUGGGGCUGCUAGUGGCUAUCCUAGACACUACAAGUAUGUGCGUGUGCAUAUAUUUCUCUAAGGAAAUGAUCCAAACCUCCUGUUGUUUGUAAAUUAAUCGUUUCCUCUAUGUUUCAAAAUCCAUCAAAACUGUCCACUGUUCACAGGGAUGAUCAAUUGAUUUUCAAGUAGUUUUCUCUCGCUAACCACCCAAGUUCGAAAAUUGGGAGAGAUUUUGGGGCUAAAAAAGUGUUUUCUAUUUUGCGCUCAAUUGACCCUUUUUUUCAAAGAAAAAAAAUCAUCACAAAUCCUUGUGGCUAAGAAAUUUCUGUUAACUUUCAAUUUUUGUAUCUUCUAGUAUUUUAUUCCUAAGACUUUUAUUGAUAAAUAAUGAGAUUUAAUGUUUUACUAGUAAAAGACACACAAGAAGUUGGAAUUUAAUAGAAAAUUUUAAAAGACGAGGGUUUUAAGUGCGAAAUGAUUAAUUUACUGAAUCCAACAUAGCGGUUUGCUCAUUUUCCCUAUCUAUCUUUCUCUAUGUAUUGAUAUUAUUCAUAACUAUAAGUUUUAAUUUGUUGAUUCUAUGUAUAUCAUUGCAGGUGCUCAAAUAGUUGUUUGCUAUGGAAUGUGUGGUAACAACUUACCAUCAAAACCAGAUGUCAUAGCUCUCUGCUACCAAAACAACAUCAGAAGAAUGAGAAUCUAUGAUCCAAACAGAGAGGCCCUCGAAGCUCUUAGAGGCUCCAACAUUGAAGUCAUGUUGGGCCUUCCCAACAACGACCUCCGAAGAAUCGCUUCCAAUCAAGCCGAAUCAAACACUUGGGUCCAAAACAACGUCCAAAAUUUUGCUAACAAUGUCAAGUUCAAGUACAUUGCUGUAGGAAAUGAAGCAAAACCGGGAGACGACUUCGCUUGGUAUCUUGUUCCCGCCAUGAGAAACAUACAAAACGCCAUUAAUGGAGCUAACCUUGGAAGCCAAAUUAAAGUUUCCACUGCCAUUGAAUCUAGAGCUCUUGAAGUAUCCUCUCUGCAGGAUCCUUUAGGCAAGACAACAGACAAAUUUUGGGUCCACUUAUUACUAUCCUCAACGAAAACAAAUCUUCGUUGCUUGUUAACUUGUACCCUUACUUCGCCAUCGCUGGUGACCGUCGAAUAUCUUUUGAUUAUGCACUAUUUAGUUGGAUGCUACUUAUGCUGCGUUGUGUUGAAUAUAUGCAACCAUUUUUACUUUGGUUAAAAAUGCAUGUGGCUAGCAUAGAAAGGUUGAAUAUGCCAUCAAGGUUAGCACCGAACCUUGAAAAUUUGAAAAGUGCCAAGACUUUUGCUUUGAAAAUGGCUAGCAUGCAUGGCAAGGUUCAACUAUAAAUAGAGGAGUAAUUGUUCAUUGAAGGCAUUCCAAAAUUUGAGAGAGUGACAAUUCAAUUGUAGAAUUAUUAAGAGAGUGAGUUAUUGGAGAGUGUGUAAUUAAGAGAUUUUUCCUUUUAAGUGUGUGAGAGUACUAGGUCUAUUUGGGUUUUGGAAAGUGAAGUUUCCUUUACUCAAAUAUUGUACUUCAAUAAUUGUUAGUGAUACAAUUAUUUUCUCUUCCUCCCGUAGACGUAGGCAUAUUGUCAAACCACGUUAAAUUUUGUGUUCUUCCUUUUUUUGUGAUUAUUUGGUGCGCUCGAUGCCACAUUCCGCGCACAAUAAGUGGUAUCAGAGCAGACAGUUCAUAAAUGAUAUUGUUCACGUAUACAAUAUUAUUCAUGUGCAGUAUUGUUUAUGAAUACGGUGGAGCUAGUAGUUCGUAUUUAGGAGGAUCAAUAUUUUGUGUAGUGUGGAUUUGUACAUGUUUAGUGCGUUUUUUCCAUACAUAUUGAUCUCUAAGGUAGGAAUAAUUUAUUGAGAAAAUGGUAGAAGGUGAAACUUACAGAACUGGGGAGAGAUCUACCCAAACUAUUCUAGGAGACACUACGGGUGGGAAGCGAGACUUGUCACAUCGCCAAUCAGCACCUGUUAUAGGAGAUCAAAAGAUCGAUGUUGAAAAUUUUGAUGGGAAAAUCAACUUCGGCAUAUGGAGGCGCGGAGUUAUGGAUGCUCUUAUUCAAAUCAAUCUCGAUGUUUUUCUGAAAAAUAAAAGAUACAUGUAUGACAAAGAAACUUGGGAUUGUAUGAAUGAAAAAGCUUGUGGUCAAAUCAGAUCUUUCUUGACCAAGGAAGUGAUAUAUUUAGCGAAAGAUAAGGAGCGUGUGAUGACUUUUUGGCGUGCAUUCGAGGAGAAGGACUUGUUGAAAGGUUUUAAAAAUUAUCUUCAUGCAAUGAGCCAAGUAUAUGACUUUCGAAUGAAGGCCGGGGUGUCAAUGAACGAUUAUGUCUCAAGAUUUGAGAAUGUGCUUAUAGAUUUGAAAAAUCUUGGUAAAGAUAAUAAGGAUGAAGUUAAGGGACGAUUCUACUACACUCACUUUCAAAAGAAUAUAGUCAUUUUGUGACCACUUUAUUAUAUGGGAAAAACAUGAUUAUCUUCAAGGAUGUUUGCACAGUAUUAACUAAUUUAAAAAUUCAAAAUAAAGAUAAGCGUUCUGAAAGAGCAUCAUCUGAAGCUUUGUCGGCCAGAGAAGGACGAUAGAGAAAAAGAAAAAUCGAGGUGAAAAGAAUUCUCGGUCCAAAUCGAGAAGCAGAAAUAUAGCUCAAGAUUAGUGUCUUUUUGUCAUGAGAGUGGCCAUUGAAAGAAAGAUUGUCCAAAGGCUCAGAAGAGAGGGAAGAAACCAGUAGCAAGAAAUAUGACAUGUAAAGAUGAAGACUCUGAUUAUUCGUUAAGUAUUACGCCAGCAGCAUACGUGGCUAAUUUGAGUGAGUGGAUACUUAAUACUGGAGUUAUCUACCAUUUGUGUCCUAUAAAGAAAUGAUUUAUAGAUUUCUGUGAUUUAGAAUCCAAUUUAGUUAUGAUAGGGAAUGAUCAACCUUGUCGCACAAUGGGGAUAAGAGCAAUUCGGCUCAAAAUGUUCGACGGAAUGGUCAGAGAACUGAAAGAAGUUAGAUAUGUUCCAACUCUGAAGAAGAAAUCAAAUUUCUGUAAGUGCUUUGGAGGCUAAAGGCUACAAGGUUACCAUUGAAGAUGGCAAAAUGAAGUUCACACAUAGGGUUAUAGUGAUUCUACAAGGGGUUUGAUGUCAUAAUUUAUACUAUUUGAAAGAAGGUAUAACCGAUGAGCUAAUGUUUGUGAUGGACACAGUAACACCACCAAGCUAUGGCAUGUACGACUAAGACAUGCUGGAGAAAAGUCUCUGCAAACUCUAAUGAAGCAUGAACUUUUGAAAGGUACCAACACCUGUAAAUUGAAAUUUGGUGAGUAUUGUGUUGUUGGCAAGAAAAUAAGGGUCAAGUUUGGUAUGACUAUUCACGAUACUCAUGAUAUCUUUAAAUAUGUUUACAAUGAUAUAUGGGGACCAGGAAAGACUGCAUUAAUUGGUGAAAGCCAUUAUUUUGUUUUAUUUGUUGAUUAUUUCUCUAGAUGUGAUUGGCUGUACACCAUGCGAGUAAAUGAUGAGAUUCUAGAGAUUUUCGUGAAAUGAGAGAAAUUUAUGGAGACUUAAACUAGCAGAAUGAUCAAAGUAUUACGUCCUCAUAAUUGGGGUGAAUAUACUUCUGAUCUAUUCUUGUAAGUAUACCAGAGUGAGGGUAUUAAAAGACAUUUCAUGGUGAGAUAUACUUUGCAACAGAACGAUGUGGCUGAGCGUAUGAAUCGUACUUUACUGGAGAAAGUACACUGUAUGUAUCUAAUACUGGUUUAGAUAAAAAGUUUUGGGCUAAGGUUUUGAGCUACGCAAAUCACUUGAUAAACAACUUGCCUUCUACUAUAAUUGGAGCUAAAACUCCUAUGGAAAAAUGAUAUGGAAAACAUGCACAAAACUAUGACUCCAUUCGUAUGUUUAGGAGUCCAACUUAUUAUCCUAUAAAGAAUGAUAAACUCGAUCCUCAUGCAAGAAAAGCUAUCUUUAUGAGAUUUAAAGGUGGAGUUAAAGGAUGCAAGUUAUGGGAUCUUGAAAAUAAAAAGUUUGUGUAUAGCAGAGAUGUCACUUUUGAUUAAGCCUCUAUGUUGAAGGUUUUAAGUUCUCAGUAGGUGGAGAACAAGACCAAUGAGACAUUACGGUGGGUGGAGUUUGAUAUAACUUUAUUUUUACUAGUUAGUUCUACAUAAGAGAAGAUUUCAACUUUAGAGGAGCCCAAGAGUAGAAGAAAAAGCUUUUUCUGUUGAUGUCCCACAAGAGGAAAAAACAACUGAAGAUAUAGAAGAUGAAAAUGACAGUAUAGCAAUAGGGAGACAAAAAAAAGUGAUAAAGAAAACCGAAUGUCUUACUAAAGACAUGGUGGUAUCCUAUGCACUUCCAGUUAUUGAUGAUGACAUCCCCAACUCUUUCAGUGAUGCUUUAUGCAGUACUAAAAGUGACCAAUGGAAGUUAGCUAUUGAAGAAGAAAUGAAGUCUCUUUAUCAAAAUUAGACUUGGGAACUUGUGGAGUUACCUAAGGGAAAAAGGGCUAUUGGCAAUAAAUGGGUCUACACCAAGAAGCAAGGUUCUCCAAAUUAAACAACUCCUCGAUACAAGGCAAGACUUAUAGCAAAAGGCUCUACUAAAAAGGAAAGUAUUGACUACAAUGAAGUGUUCUCUCCAGCUUUAAAGCAUACUUCCAUUCAUAUCCUAUUUGCCUUGGUAGCUGAAUAUGACUUAAAGUUUGCUCAACUAGAUAUUAAAACGUCAUUCUUACAUGGAGAUUUGGAGAAUGAAAUCUAUAUGACUCAGCCUUGUGGUUUCAAAAUUGCUAGAAAUGAGAAUUAUAUGUGCAAAUUAAUUAAAUCUUUGUAUGUAUUGAAACAAUCACCAAGACAAUAGUACAAGAGAUUUGAUCAAUUCAUACAAGGGUAAAAAUUUACCAGAAGUGAACUCGAUUACUGUGUUUACUUUAGAAGACUACAAGAUGGGACUUUCAUCUAUCUGUUACUCUAUGUCGAUAAUAUUCUUAUAACUUUGAAGAAUAGAUGUGAGAUUGAAAGGUUAAAGAAGCAGUUGACUUCUGAAUUUGAGAUGAAAGACUUGGGUGAUGCAUAGAGAAUACUUGGAAUGGAGAUGCGUGGAGACAAAAAGAAUGAGAGUGUAUGGUUAACGUAAAAGUCUUAUUUGAAGAUGCAAAAGAGUUUGGUAUAGAUGACAAAACUAAAACAGUUUCUACUCAUUUCAAAUUAAGCUCUUAUUCAUGUCGUACAUCUCAAGAGGAGCAUGACUACAUGGCUCGUGUUCCAUAUACUAGUGAUGUGGGUAGUCUUACGUAUGUUAUGGUGUGCUCAAGGCCGUGAGUAUAGCUAGUUAAUACAUCAUAAUCUAAACAAAAACCAUUGGCUUGCAAUGAAGUGAAUGCUCUGAUAUUUGUAUGGGACAGUCAAUAUUGGAUUAUUGUUAAAAAAAAAUUAUGGUCAAUAAUGUGUUAGGUAUUGCAAUUCUAAUUUUAGCGGAGACCUUGACAAGUAAAGAUCAACAACGGGCUAUGUAUUCACAUUGGGUGGAGGUUCGAUUAGUUGGAGGUUGAUUUUACAAUCAACAAUUGCUCUUUCCACUACGGAAGAAGAGUAUAUGGCAGCAACUGAUGCUGUAAAGGAAGCUAUUUGGUUUAAGGACUUGUUACGAUAUUUGGGAGUAAUCUAAGAGAAUAUUGAGGUCUUCUAUGAUAACCAAAGCGCGAUAUUCCUAGUAAAGAACCAAACAUAUCAUACUCGGACAAAGUACAUAGAUAUGAAAUAUCAUUAUGUGAGGGAGGUUAUCGAGAGCGAUGUUAUGUUGUUAAGAAAGAUUGAUACCAAAUAUAAUCCAUCAGAUAUGUUGUCAAAGGUGAUUUUGGGUACUUAGGCAAUCACAGCUAUGCAACCACUUUAGAGAUGAUGGAUCAUUAAUAGUCGGCUCAGAUUUGACAAAUCUGAGCUAAGGUAGAGAAUUGUUGAGCACAUGCAAUCUUUUUUACUUUAGUUAAAUAUACAUAUGGCUAGCAUAGAAAGGAUUAAUAUGCCACCAAGGUUGGCACCGAAUCUUGAAAAUUUGAAAAGUGCCAAGAAUUUUGCUUUGAAAAUGGCUAGCAUGCAUGGCAAGGUUUAGUUAUAAAUAGUGAAGCAAUCGUUCAUUGAAAGCAUCCCAAAAUUUGGGAGAGCAACAAUUCAAUUGUAAAAUUGUUAAGAGAGUGAGCAACUGGAGAGUGUGUAAUUGAGAGAUUUUUUCUUUCAAGUGUGUGAGAGUAUUGGUUGUAUUUGGGUUUUAGGAAGUGAGAUUUCCUUUACUCAAACAUUGUACUCUAAUAAUUAUUAGUGAUACAAUUAUUUUCUCUUGCUCCCGUAGACAUAAGCAUAUUGCCGAACCACAUUAAAUUUUGUGUCCUUUAUUUUUCUUAUGAUUAUUUGGUGCUCUUAAUUCCACAUUCCCCGUACAACAUGUUGGAGAAAGCGGUGGGGCUCGUUGGAUAUUGGGAUAUCAAAAAGAGAGGGGCCAACAGCAGGUUGUGACAGAGCAUUAAUUAAUGUGGAAAAUUGUUGGUUAAUUUUAAACUCAAUUGCUAUUGAUGCCAAUAUGCAAGUGUACAUAACAAGUAAUAAAGUGAUGAGUAUUUAAGAUCGUCUCCAUAGGGAUUGAUGUUACUAGAAAUACUACAGCAAUCACAAUAGUGCUAUCUACCUUUAUUUCAAGAUGAACAAAUUCAAAGUUGUUUGCUAUCGAAAUUAACAAUUGUAAGGAAAUAAAACAACUAACUGCAGUAAUAAAAUAAACUAAGUAAAUUUCUUAAAAGAAUCAAUUGAGAAUGAGGUAGUUGAAUGAUCAAACUCUCUUCAUGGGUUGACUGUUUUUCAUCAAAUUAAUACCAAUUGCUACAGCAAUUCCUACAGCACUAGGCAGAAUUAUUUUGCAUCCUCAACUGUCGCGUGUUGGACUUCUCAUACCUUUAAGUAUCUUAACAUCGACUAGUUGCUAUUCUACAUGAGGCAUGUCAUUGUGAACAUCCACUCUAUCAACCCUACAAGGUGAGUGCAUAUUUCUAGUUUUUCACAAAUCUUAACUUCAAGUAUAGCCCUUAUGGGAUUCAAGAUAAACUCAAUCCAGGAAACUCAAAUUAAGAUCAAGUAUUACUCCCGUAAUAUCCACUAAGACAUGCCAUUUUGCGGCUCUAUCUUAACUUGAAGCAUUAAAUGGGUGGCCAACCGAAAUAACAAUUAUAAUAAUAGCUACUGGAGUAAAAUGCUAUAACAAUCAUACAACAACUCAUAAGAACAGUCAAAAACCCAUUCAGAUUGUUUGUCACUCAACUAUAAGCAAGUUUAGUUCAUCUUUUGAAAAAGAGAAAUAAACAGCAAACUAAUGGUCACGAAAUACAUUGGUUCAAUCAAAGAGCAGAGAAGAGAACAAGUAAAGAAUGAUGGAGACUGAAUCCAAACAACUCUCUGGAUUCGUUACUGAUCCAGCAUCCGUUCCCUUGAAUUCUGAUUGUGUUCUUCUUGUCCUCUUGAUUUUUUCUAUGUUAAUUCCUUGCCGCCAUUUUAUGUGUUGCGCGCCUCUUUUUAUACUGAAAAUUAGGAUAAGCAUAAGCCUAGGGCGCGCAUGAGUCAGAUUAGGAAAAUGUAGAUAUCAAUUAUGCAAAUAUCUCGUGCUAAGAUUUCUCUAUCAUUGUUCCAGGAUUGCUACAGCAAUGGCUGCUCCAGCAACCAGUCUAGCACUGUACUGUUCCAUAUUUUAUUUUACUUCUUUUGUGCCAGCCUAUUGCUUCAACAUUCUUUUCCUGAAUCAUAAGCUUCUGAAAACCUACGAUUAUGCACACAAUUUGAUCACAAAUUAAAUUAAUCAAGCAAAACUUAUUAGGAUGAAACUAAAAUGAAUGUUUAUGCAAAAUGUAACAAAAAUGCAAUAAAAACACAUCAUUUGCUCUCUAAGUGAUCUCGAUUUAAGUUUAGAAUUGUCAUAAUAACUCUCAUUUUAUAGAGUUAUCAAUAAUGCAAGGACUUCUAAUAAUAACUUUAUACAGCAUGUGAAGUAAGGGUCACCAAAGAAGCCUAACAUACCUGUUAAGACUUACUUUUUUGCUAUGUUUGAUGAGAAGGAAAAACAGGGAGCUAAGAUUGAGAGGCAUUAGGGACGUUUUGCUCCAAACAAGCAGCCUAAAUACCAAAUUAACAAUUAACCAAAUCAGAGCAACUGCAUGCAACAGCAAAUUUAAAGUUAUAUUUGUAAUGCAAUAAAUUAUUGCACCAUAUGUAUUACAAAAUAAGAGUUUUUAUGAUCACCUUGCAUCUAUGCGUGAGGCCAAAUUUCCGUUAUCAAUAAUAUCAUAUUCUCUUUCAAUUUUUUGUAAUGUCAUGGAUUGUGGUAUUUAAUUAUAUAUCAUAUUCUCUUACAAUUUUUUUGCUUAGGUCAAUCAACAUGUAAUGUAAUUAUUCCUUGGCUUUUAUGUAAUGUAAAAACGCGCCCACAUCAUCACACAUGAACACUUGGGUAAACAAUUACAUUUCCCUUUUCUUCAAGGAAAUUUGACUGGAGCUUUCUGCGAAUAUAGUCUUAUUAAGACAAAAAGAUCAAAAUUAUGUGGCUGCAGUUUCUGCGUAUAAAAUACCAAUGAUCUUUUAGCAUGAUCUUGAUGACUUGUGUAAUUUUAUUUUUUACACCUCAAUUGUUAGGAUAUCAAUAUAUCUUUUAUACAUGCCAUUUACAUUCCUUCUAUUAAUUAUAUAUGUUGAAAGGCUUGUGUAGAGCUCACCUUUGUUGCUCUUUCUUAUAAGUUAUCACCUCUAUUAUGGAAAUAAGAAAAAUCUUUGAUGAAAACCAUCAUCUAUAAUCCAGGAACAUUCAUGUUGUAUCACCAAGAAUUAAUAACUAAAUUAUGCAGAAGUUUACCUAAAUCUAUAACCCUGACUUGCUCUAUGGGGUUGUGUGGUUGGCCUUCCAGAUAUUCACAUUCUCCUAGAGAGUCAUUUCUCUCUGAUGAUAAUGUCAAUAGAGAAUAGAAAGAUACGUGUAACCUGGGGACCAUAACCACUUAUAUAGACAACUUGUUCCUGUUGUCACUGGGUAUUCCUAAUUCUACCCAUUAUAGAAUUAGAAUACUAUUAGGUCUCACACAUUGAAGGCCCACACCCUAUUUUAUGCAUUAAAGCCCAUAAUACCGAAAAUCCAAAUAGAUAACUUUUAAUUGAGGUUAACCUUAUAUGAAAAUCUACAACACAUAAUUAUUUACAUAUAAGCCCAAUGUUGGAUUAAGGAUCCAACAAUAUUGGAUUAAAAAAUCUAACAAUCUCCCACUUGGGCCAUAUGUGUAACCUUAUAAUUAUAUUUUACAAAAAUAAUCAUAUGAGCUCAACCUUACUACCAUUACCAUAAUGUAUAUGUAACCAAUCCGGUCCAUCAAUCAUACCAACAUAGAAUUAAAUCGGCCUUCGCUACGAUUAUUGUAACUCGACUCAUCAAUGGUCGCUAUGCCAAUAAGACUAAAUGACAUGGGUCAUGAUGUGGAUGUGCAGCAUGGAAAUUUCAUGCAAUGUGAUCUUAAUGUGCCUAUUUCCAACUGGUUCACCUUAAACUUUACUAAGAUCAAACCAUACCAAAAUCAGAGUGUGAAUAAACUAAAACUUUAUUUCUGUAGAAAAUAACCUGAAAUAUCCAUAAACUAAAAUAACUAAAAAUGUCUAUAUUAUAAGAGCAUCUAAAAUCACAAAUUCCCACUAAAAUUGAUUAUCCUUUAACGACAUGACACCCAUAUGAGCAGUGUGCUCAUGAAACAUCUUGAGGGGCAAUCCCUUAGUAAACAGAUCCGCAAUCAUGGAGUCUAUGUCGAUGUGCUCAAUAGACAAUUGUCCACUCUGAACUUUUUCUUUAACAACUAGGAACUUGAUGUCUAUAUACUUUGACUUUGUUGAGCUCCUGUUGUUAUUGGAAUACAGCACUGCUGACUUAUUUUCACAAAAUAAUUUGAGUAGUCUAUCAACAUUAUCUACUAUAUGCCGCUGGUGACUUUGAUUAAACAAAUAUUUAUGAAUUGUGCUUUUAUAAUAAGAAAAUGAUGUUAUGGAAUUAAAGCAUUUAGGACUAAAAUGAAAGUAUUUUAAAAACUUUGAUAUUAUUUUUAAAUUUUAGAUUUAGACAUAUUUGAAACUAUUUAAAUAUUUUGGGUUAUUCUAUAAUUUCACAUAACUUAGGUGAAAUCAUAAUUUCAGAAAGUUUUGGGAUUGACAAAGCAUUAUUUAGAAAUUUUGAAAUUGGACCUAUUUGAAAGAUUUCAUAACAUUUUGGGCCAUAAAAUAGUUUUAUAAAGUUUUGAGGUCAAACUGUAGGAAGCGGCUAACCGGAUAUGGUAAGCGACAAUCCGGAUUUUGGGCAGUAAGCUUCUGAAGCAUAAGCGGUUAUCCGGAUUUCGCAAGCGACUAUCCAGAUUUCAAAAGCGGCUAACCAGAUAUGAAAAGCGGCAUGCCGGAUAUUCUGAAAUUCAAAUUUUUGCCUUAACAGUAACAUAAAAGCGGCUAACCAGAUUCCAUAAACGGUAAGCCGGUUAUGACCAAAAUGUGCAUAACGGCCAGUUUUUGGGGUCAAACUAUAUAAACUCAAAUCCAAUUCAUUUUCAAGCUCUCUAGCACGCAUAAACAAAAAACACACAAGAUAUCUUGAGCUCUCAAUUCGCAAAUCAUAAAACAUUGAAUCAUUUCUUGUUCUUCAUCUUGAAUAUCUACUCUUUGAGUGAGUUUUGUUGUAAUUUUUAUUUCUUCAUCUUAAUUGUAAGUGUUUGAGUGUGUGAGACACUUGAGUGAAGAGAUUGGGAGAUAAUCUCUUUGUUGUAAAGGUUCAUUGACACCUUGAAGUCAAUUGUAAACGUUUGAAGCCUUGGAAAGGCUUGGAUAGUGAAAUCCUCAAGCUUGGAUUGCUUGGAGGCGUGGACGUAGGCGGGGAUUGCCGAACCACGUAAAAAUUUGUUUGUUUAUUUCUCUUCUCCCUUGCUCAUUUGUUAUUGUGCUUUUAUUGAACUUAUUGCUUUCGAAUUUAUUAAGGCGUUAGAUUGGAUUAUUUUAAAAUACCAAUUCACCCCCCUCUUGGGUUGCACACUUAUAUUUCAGCAGCCCCGUGACAAAAUUUUGUAUCCAUAUUCCGUGAUUAAAUGCAUCAUAACAUUCUAUGAACUUUGUUGCCAUUAUAGAAGAGGAUAUAAAAGACUAUUUAGCAGUCUUCCAAGAGACAGCACCCCCAAAUAAUAGAUAGAUGUAACCCGAAGUGAAUUUCAUACUAUCUUAGCAUCCAAAAAAAUCAGAGUCAGUAAACCCAAUGAUUUCAAGUUGAUCUGACCUCUAAUAUGUGAGCUUGUAAUCUUUCGUUCUCUGUAAGUAUUGUAAGACCUGUUUAGUUGCUUUCCAAUAGUCUAUUCCUGAUUACUUAAAUAUCUUCUAAACAUCCCAAUGACAUACUCAAUAUCCGAUCACGUACAAACUUGAGCAUAUAUCAAACUUUCUACUGUUGACGCAUAAGGAAUCCUCUGCAUUUCCUUUUCCUCAAAAUCAUUCUUAGGGCACUGAUUGAGACUAAACUUGUCUUCGUUAGUCACAAGGGUAUCGCCUCGUUUGUAAUUUUGCAUGCCAUCAAUAUAGCUCUUCUAAGAUAAUCUAAGAAUACCCUAGGGGCGAUCCUAGUGUAUCAGUUUGCCUAAUACAAAAGAGGCGUCACCAAGAUCUUUCAUCUCAAAAUUCUUAGUUAGAAAUCUCUUGGUGUCGUGCAACAAGCCUAUAUCGCUACUGAUAAGCAAAACGUCAUCGAUAUAUAAAACUAGAAAAAUAUAUUUGUGUUGAGUGUUAGAAAAAGUAUAUUUAUAAAGGAGAAAAUCGUCAUUUUACACUUCAAGUUUUACUAACACCCUUACUUUUAUGUAUUUAAACUUCUUGUCAUUUAAUUAUGUGUGUUGUAUUAUAAUUAAGUAUUUUAUGUAUUUUAGGGGCAUCAUAGUCAUUUCACAAUAAACGAGAGAUCAGACGGCAAAACGGACAUCACUUUUGAACUCAGGACGGUCGAAAACCUUAGGAGGAGCAUAAAAGGAAAAAUGGCACUGUUCACAUGUACAGUACUAUUCACAUGUACAGUACUGUCUACGUUACUGUUCACGACACUGUUCACAUAGACGGAUCGAUGACGUGGUAUUGACCGAUGAUGUGGCAUUGACUGAUGAGAUGUCACGAUUAUGUUGGACUAAAAUUCUUAUGCACUGUUGAUCGAUGACGUGGCAGCACAUCAGUGGACCAAAAAUCUUGCGUACGGUACAUGCAUUACACAGGAUUAUUUUCAACCAAACCGCGUCACUGUUCAAGCCAGGUCAAACUGUGUUACUGUUCAAACCGCGUGGUCAAACCGUGUACUAUUGACCGAUGAUGUGGCGCAAUCCUGAGCGUCCGAAAUAUUUUUGAUCUGAUGGCCAUGAUUUACUCAAUGUAUUUAUAAAAAAGGGGCUCUCCCCCCUAAUUUGAUAUCUCUGAAUCCAUUUUUGGAUUCCAUUUUCUGUAAUUCCUUCUCCAUCUUGUAUUUUCUACGUAUUUUAAUAAAUUUUCAUUUUGCCCCUAGUUCAAUUAUGAGUAGCUAAUUUUCUUUCAUGCUUGGGUUGAAGGUGAAGCCUCAACAUGUGUCAUGGGCUUUAUUUGGUAAAUUUAUUUUCUCUUCCCCUCUAGUUUUUGUGGAUGUUUUGACUUCUCGUUGACAAAUAAUAAUAAGCUUAUCUAGAUACCGCCCUGGUUUCACCGGCUCCCUAGUACAAGGUUAUUAUUAUUUGGCACGAUAAGCCCUUAGCACCAUAUUGAUUAGAGUGUGGUUCAUGAGGUGUGAAUUCCCCCCUCAUGAUUUAAUUUGUAUUAAUAAGGAAUAUUUAGCCUAUGGUGCAUGUUGAUACGGAUCCAGAUACCCAAGUACGUCAUUUCAAUAGAUUUCUAUUCAAUUCAUUCUCACCAUUUAAAAUCUAAUUUUAGAAUAAUCUAAAGUCACUUUCACCACAAAUCCAACCACUCAUUUAAAAAAUUAAUUCUACACAUUUAAAAUCCACCUCCUCGUGGGAUCGACACUCGUCACCAUUGAUUUAUACUACAAUAGAUUCGUGCGCUUGCGAGUUCAAUAAAAUUUGCACAACAAUUUGCUCCUAUAGAACUUAUGGUAUAUGCAAUCAUCGACUAAAUUCAUCUCAAAACUGAAUGAGAUGAUCACUUGAUGAAGUUGAAAUACCAUUGUCGAGAUGCAUGUUUAAGCCCAUAGCUGAUUUCUUAAAUUUGUAAACUAUAUUCUUUGGGUCUCUGGAUAUAAAGUUUUCUGGUUGCACUAUAUAGAUUGUCUCAUCAAUGUCACCAUUGAGAAAUGUCGUCUUUACAUUCAUAUGAUGUUACACAAGAUUGAAAUACACCAUCAAUGCCAUUAUAAUCCUCAAAGAGUCUUUCAAAGAAACCGAAAAGAAAGUCUCUUUAUAGUCGAUGCCUUCUUUCUGUGUAAAGCCCUUGGCGACAAGACGCGCCUUGUACCUCUCCACAUUGCCUUUGGAAUUCCUCUUGGUCUUAAAUAUCUAUUUGAAACUAAUAGGUUUUGUACCUUCUGAUAAUGGGAUAAGAUCCUAAAUGUCAUUGUCCUUUAUGGACUUCAUCUCUUCAUUCAUGGCAUCAUGGCUUGACGGAAAUUAAUUGGAUCAUUUUCCAUCAUUUCAAUGUCUACCGCAUGUUCUUGGAGAAAUAUAAUGUAAUCAUCUGGCAAUGCACUUCUCCUUUCCUUAUAAAUCUCCUUAAUGGCAUAGGUUCUUGAGAUAGUAAAGUUUAGGAUUCUCUAAUAUUAUCCUGAUCUAUUAUGUUUUGAACAAAGUGAAGAAUGAGACCCCGAUCAAUGCAAAUAACACCUAUAGGAAUAUUAACAUAUUCCUCUUCAAAGACAAAGUCUCUAGUUGUAUCUCCCCCGCAAACUCGACAUCCUCAAAGAACCGAGCCAUUCCCAACUCGAAAAUCGACUUAGUCGUGGGAUCAUAAAAUUUGUACCCCCGGAUCGUUCUAAGUGCCCAAUAAAAUAUUAACUCACCAUUCUUGAGUCCAUUUUCUUCUCAUUAAGCCUAUAAAGCCUUGUCUUAACUGGACAUUCUCAAACAUGCAAGUGCUUUAAACUAGACUUCUUGCCUAUCUAAACCUGAUAAGGGGUUUUGGUAGUCUCCUUAAUUGGAAUUCAUUAUUUCGGUUGACCACCCAUUUAAUGACACUAGCUAAGAGAGAACUAUAAAAGGGUAUGUUUUAGUAAAAUAUAUCAGAGCAAUACUUGGUUCUAUACUGAAUUUCUUGGACUAAGUUUUACUUAAUUCCAAAACGGUCAUAUUUAAUCUAAGAUUAGUGAUGAACUAGACAUAGGGAUUCAUCUUGUAGGGUAAAUAGAACCUAAACGUGUAAUGUUAUAUCUUGUGUUGGCAUAACAAUUGGUCAUUGUUAGGUUGCAUAAAAAUACAAGAUAUCCAACAUGUGAUAGCUGAGGAUACAUAAGGAUUCUAUCAGUGCGGUAGCAAAUGCUACAACAACCGAACCGAAAAUUAGAAGAAAUAGUCAAGACCAUUAAGAGAGUUUAUUCCCAUUAGUUUCAUCUUUACGUGUGACGUGAUAAUUUACUUUACUGCAUUUUUAUUUGUUGCAUUUUUAUUUUAAUUGGCUUAUUAGUUUUAUUAAGUGUUUAAUUUUCAAUUAAAGUAAAAUUGCACUAUUAAGAUUGUUAUAGCAAAUCUAAUAACAUCAAUCCCUGUAGAGAUAAUCGCGAAUAAUUAUCAUUAUAUUACUUGUUGUGUACACUUGCACAUUGACACAUAUAACGUAAGAAAUCGCGCAACAGGAUUCUACUUAGGAUAUAUGCUGCAAUCUUAAGGGCUUCUCCCCAGAGUCAUUCUGGUAAGAUAGAAUGACAAAUCAUACUCCUCACCAUAUCUUUAAGCAUCAAGUUUUGUCUUUCAGCAACACCAUUCAUAGUGAGCAAACCCGGCAUAGCGUACUGUGGGACGAUAUCGCAUUCCUAUAGGAAUUUAGCAAAUGGUCUUGGACAUUGUUCACCUGAACCAUUAUAUUUGUACCACAGUCAGACCUGACGCUUUUGAUUCUUUUGAUGAUUUGGUUUUCAACUUCAACCUUAAAGAUUUUGAACAAAUCUAAGGACUGUGACUUUUCAUGGAGGAGAUAUAUGUAGUCAUAUCUACAAAAAUAGUCUAUGAACGUCAUAAAAUAUUUUUAACCAUUCCAAGCUACUAUAGGAAAUGGCCCACAAAUGUCUUUAUAAAUGAGUUUUAAGACGGCCAAAGUCCGUUGGCUUUAAAUAUCCUUUUAUUGGUUUGUUUCCCUUUGAUACAGUUAACACAUUUAUUAAAAUCUGUGAAAUCUAAGGGAUCAAAAAUUUCAUGUGGCACAAAUCUCUCUAUGGAAAUAUGACCCAAUCUCUUAUGUCAUAACACAGCUGAAUUCUCAUUGGUUAAUUUUCUCUUUAAACCUCGUGUACUUAAUUGCAAUGAUUCAUUAAAUGAAGCAAUCACAUCAAGCAUAUAAAGAUUACCACUUCCUGACAAAGAACCGGAAGUAACUAGUUUUGAAUCAUGAAACAAACUUAAUUUUUCGUUUCCAAAUGAACAAGAAUAAUCAUUUUUGCCCAAAACAAAAAUGAAAAUCAAGUUCUAUCUAAAAGACGGAACAAUAAAUGUUUCAUCAAGAUCCAAAUAAAAUUUGGUCUUUAAUAAUAAUCUAAAUUUUCUAAUUGCUUCAACUUCAAACUUCCUACCAUCACCCAGAUAGAUGCAUCUUUCACCAUCAUUGGGCUUUUGGCAAUUCAAGCAACCUUGCAUAGACACACUGAUGUGAGUGGUUGCACCAAAAUCUAUCCACCACGUGUAUCUAGGUACCAAAGUUAAAUUAACCUUAGAACAAACCCAACCAUGCCCUUUAAUUCCGUAAAAGAAACAAUUAGUAGCUUCUCGAUCAUCCAGUUUCUUUUGUUGUUUCUUUUUAGGUGUUGUAUCUGUAGCUUCCUUAUUCCCAUUCUUUUUUUUUAACCCUUAUCCUUGCCCUUAUUCUUUAUUGAAAUCAGAUUUGUCAAGAGUGUGCUCAUUUUUGCCUUUUCGUUCUUGACAAAUCAAUUUUCAAUUUCUAUAAGAAACUCUUUAAUCGUAGUUAUCCUUGCAGACAUAGAGUCCUGAAUGGUUCCAUAAUGACCUUACUCAUGAUCAUAAUACACGUGCGAUUUGAUCUCUCCUACCUUUCCAUAUCCCUUUUAUCAUUAAUGGUAUUUUCAUCCUUAAGAGGUGGGGGAGAAUCAACCCUUAACACAAGGUAAAAAUCCGUGACUGCCAGUACAAUUAAAAAGUUCGCUUCCCAUGAUUUGAAGUUGGAGCCAUUUAGCAUAGGAAUAAAAUUAAUGUUGGCAGUAAUAUUAGCAAUAGACAUAACUGAACGAAGAACAACAAACAAACCAAAUAGGCUUAUAUUAGUCUUAAAAAAAUUAAAUUUAAAUAAAGAUAUCUCAAGAUAUCGGGUACUUCAUUAAUAUUUCGUCUUUGGACAAAAUAUUAAUUCGUAAGUGAUAUCUUAAUGUAGUAAUCAAAUACUGAUAAUAAGAACAUGUCAAACAAUGAAUCUUUCUUUGGGCUUAUUUAUUGCUCACAUGUAAAACCGAAUAAUCAUUACAAUGUACAUGUAAUUCUAUUAAAUAUAGACCUUCCAGUGGGCCGAUCGAUAUUAACAUAAAUUAUUUGUACAAAACCAUUUAUAUUUAAAAAUAAAUUAAUUUUCAUAAGAGAGGUCACUUUGGUGACAUGUCGCUUCAAUUAAUUUAUCUCAAAAUGCAUAUAAACCUACCGAUAUUUGAAUUUAAAAUUGCACAAAAAAUUAUCUAAAAAAAUUUUUAAAAGUCAAAUUUUGGUCACCGGUCAAAGUCAACAUCAACGUUGACCUUUGACCAAUAAUCGUUUACUGGUACCCGAACCUCAUCCUGAACCAACCCACAAAUCAAACCAACUUUUUUUUUUUUCUCUCAAUGGGCUAAACGUAACAUUAAUUUUGAUAGGCUAAUAUCAACCAAACGUUAAUUUUAAUCCAUCAAGCCCAAUAUAUUAUGCCCAAAAUUUAGUUUCAAUAAGCCCAAACAAAUUUAGGGCUUAAAUGAGAAACUUCAUAACUAUUUUACUGUAAACGAAUGUUAUAAAACCUGAGGAACCUUCAUGAUAUAAACCAUAAAACCCUAAUUGCACUUUUGCAUUUUUCCUUCUCCUAGCUUAGGCGGCGGCCAUGGCAGCCGCUCUCACCUAAGCUGUCGCAGCCACCAGGCUGUGGCUUGCUUGAUGACGCGACCUGAUGAUCGCGCCAUUCCUAGCAAAAAAAAAGAACUUGACCACCAUCUCAUUUUUUUAUUUCCUUUUUUUAAUCUCUUUCUUCUUCCUUGAUGCGGCAGCCUUUUACCUUCUGCCGCUGCCGUCAACCACGACUCAACCUGACUAUCACCGCCCUGGCGUCGAUGCCGAUGGUGGCUGGGCUGCCGUCGGCUUUAAACCUUAAACCGAAUUUUUAAAAUUUGAAUUUUUUAAUUUUAAACUGUAAAUCUGAAUUUAAAAAAUUCUGGAAAAACAAUUGCAUAUUUGUUCUCAAAUUCAAUAAUUUUAAUAAUUCUAGUAUUAUUAAAUUCGAGAAUACCAAAGAUUUAAUAAAUAAUCAAAGAUAAAUUUGAUUCUCAAUGAUUCAAUAUAAAGAUGCUCUGAUACUAUUUGUUGGAAAUAAGAAAAACCUUUGGUAAAAAUCAUCACUUAUAGCCGAGGAACAUUCAUAUUAUAUUACUAAAAGUCAAUAACAAAAUUAUGCUGAAGUGUGCCUGAAUCCAUAAGGGUGAAUUGCUUUCUGGAGUUGUGUGGUUGGCCAUCCACAUCUACACGUUCUUCUAGAGAGUUCUUUAAUUCUCUCACGCUUUCUCUCUGAUGAUGGGAUAUCAAUAGAGAAUAGAUAGAUAUGUGUGACCUAGGGACUAUAACCACUUAUAUAAAUAAUCUUUUCCUAUUGUCACUGGAUAUUCCUAAAUCUGCCCAUCAUAGAAUUAGAAUAAUAUUAAGUUUUUACACAUUAAAGGCCCACACCCUAUUGAUACAUUAAAGCUCAUAAUACUGAAAAUCUAAAUAGAUUACUUUUAAUUGGGCUUGACAUUGAUAUUAACAUCCAUUUAUGCAGAAGGUCGAUGAUGACACCUAACAAAUUUGAGUGUUCUAUUUUCCACAAGACAUGAUAACAAGUCGCACUCAAUUGGGAUUGAGUUGCCAAACACUUGGCAUCUUCUUUAACUCCAAUUAAUUUUGGUCCAUUUUAUAUAUCCCGGAUAUUUCUCAAUGAAAAAUAAAAUAUAUAAAAAUAAAAUUAUGAAGAAUAAAUGUUUAUCCUCUCCAAAUCCCAUGGCUUUCAUAAACACUUCUUGUUUCAACAACAAUAAUAGAGAGAGCAUUUCUUUUAUGGAACUUAUUAAGAUAACAAAUCGAAAUUAAAUAGAGAAUGAAUGUCUUUAAGAUUGAACGAUUGUGUAUAUUGAAAGAGAAAUUACUGAUAGUAUUGAUCUAUAUCCAAUAAUUUUUUUUUUUUUUGAAGAAUCGCAGGAGACAACUUCAAUAGUGUUUUUCUAAUUUACAUCGUAUUUUUAUUAUUAUUGUUAUUACUCUUUUUUUUUUGCAUGCAUCUUACUUCAAUAAUUUCAUUUGUGUAGAAUAAAUAUCUUUAGGAUUAAGACUUAUUAUGUCCUUAAUUAGGUAUAUCUUUAAUUUCUUAUUAAUAAACUCUCUCUACAAUAGAAAAGCAUUUAAUUAGAAAAAAAAUUAGCCCACCCCAAAAAAAAGGUAGCUUGACUGUUGGGAAUUGAAAGGGGAAUCAGAAUGAUUAUUUGUGUUUACUUACUAAAAAUAUAAAAGAAUGAUAAUAGAUUUUGAAUGGGAUCAACAUAUUCGGGAAUGGAAAUUUCAUUUCCAUUUUCAUAGGGAAGUGAGAAUGAAAAUAGAUACUGGAAAUAGAAAAUGAAUUGACAUUGUUAACUUUAAAGAAAAUCAAAAUUUCUUUUUUUUUACCCUAUUUAAAUAUUAAAUAAUAAUUAUUAUUAUUACUAUAAUAUUAUUAUUAUUAUUAUUGCUACUACUACUACUUAUUGUACCUAAAAAAAGAUCGAUAUAUUAAUAUAGUGUUUACUUCCUGAAGUGGAUGUGAGGAGUUUAGAUUCCUCCACUCCAGUGUUUACCAAUUUUAAGGGAGAGUGGAAAUCUCACUCUAUGGGGCCUACCUUUUUUUGGAGUGGGGAGUGGAUUCUUUUUUACCCUUAUAUAUUUAAUAAAAUAAAAUAAAUAAUUUUUAAUAAUUUAAUAAAAUUAAAUUCAUAAUAUCUGCNNNNNNNNNNNNNNNNNNNNNNNNNNNNNNNNNNNNNNCAGUUAUUUGAAAAUAUAAUAUUAUUAUAUUUAUUUAAAAAUAAUAGUAUUAUACAUAUUUAAUAUUAGUAAUUAAUAAUAAUCAAUAUUUUAUUCUAAGAAAAUAUUAAUUUUGUAUUAUAUUAUUAAUAACAAUGUUUCAUUUGUGUUGCUCUUAAUAAUAAUUUCUUAUUUACAUAAUUAAAAUUAAAAUUAAAAUUACUAAAAAUUGUGAUUUAUGUAAUUAGGAAUAUUAAUAAUUAUUAUUAAUUUGCAAACAUAAUAAAAUAAAUAUUUUAUUUUUCAAAUAUAUUUUCUAAUAUUUUUGUACUUAAAAAGUACAAUUCUUUAAAUAAGGAUAAAACUGUAAUUUGAAAUUAUUUAUUCUCAAUUUAAGACUAUGUAAACAUAUAAAUUGGAUUCUGAUCUCAAUUCUAUGCUCCCAUCCUAAUGUAAGUAAACAACUUACUCUCGCUCCUACUCCACACUCUUAAUUCUAGGAUUUCAACUCCUCAGAAUUUCCGCUCCAAUCUAAAAUGUAAAUGCUAUCUAAAAUUAUGAAAAUAUGUAGUAGUGAAGUACGUUCUCAUUUUGGGAGUGUCUUGGUGGUUGUAAUAUAUUAAUUUGUUGUUUAAUUAAUUCGCCAUUCACGCAUGUCUAUGAGGAUGAGCACUUACCCUAUUGAUGUGUUUUAGGUUUAAGAUGAUUCUAACGAUCAAAAGUGCUAUGAAACAUAAAAAUAGUGAGUUUCCUUCUUUGGAUUUCAUAUAUGCAGUAACUGGAAUAAUUGGAAUUGAAAUGAUUAGCAUCAGUAUAAGUUGUUUAAUGGAGUUACAUGAACUGAAAUUGAAAUGAACUGUAUUUCUAUUAAUAUGUACUUACUUUGUCUUGUAAUUGAGAUUAAUUUUUUAAAUUAGUAAAUUGCCCUGAAUUAAAAUUAUGUCUUCAUUCCCUAAUAAAAUGAUAAGUAACACUAAUUUUGGAAUGAAAUAUAUGCACUUUUAUUAUAAUAGUAACCUUAAUAUUAUCAUUUUUUUAUAUAAAUUAGUUGUUAUAAAUGUAACCAACCAUACAAAUAACACAUAAAAUAAAGUACAUUAAUAAUACACGAAUGAGAUACAUAUAACAUGUAAAAUUAUAUAAUUGGAUAGUUGCAUGACCACGUCGAUGAUAAAAUCUAAUCAAGACUUGUUCCACUUUCUGACGCCAUAUUAAUAAAAGAAUAACCGUGUUGUAUACUUCGGGUAAUUAAUAUAAACACCGCAACUAUGGAUAGGAAAAAAUUGCAGCAUUAGGGCACGGGCAAAAGAUAGUGAUAUGCAGCAAGAAAUUAAAUUAGCCUCAGACUUUUUAAAUAACCGGGAAGACAAGCUGUCGAAUUAAUUUAUUUUAAAAUGUUCAAGUUUUAUUUAUUAUCAAUGAGGAAUUCUUUUAUUUUAUUUUAUUUUAUUUGGCUUUUUUUGCCUUCCAAUAUGCUUCAUAGACAUCGUCAUGAUUUUCCUCUAUGAAACGGCUGCUACGAAAUGUUGUUGGUAUAUCACACUUCUGCAUUUUCAUUUUUCUCCACGCAUGGCUAAAUUCUUUAACUCUCCCAAUACCCCUUCAAUGGCUUCCGUGAUCAUGUUACUUCUUGGACUGCUAAUGGCUACCUUACACACAAGAAGUAUGUACAUAUCUUUCUCGAGAAAAUGAUCAAAAUCUCCAUGUUCUUCAUCAAAAAUUAAUUAUUUCCUCCAUGCUGUAAACUUCAUCAAAACCAUACUUGACCGAAUUAUUGUUUUAAGUAGUUUGUUUUACUAACUACUCAGUUCGAAACCUAAAAGAGAUUUAUUAAUUUGACUUCUGUCCACCCCUCACAUUAAUUUUUUUUUUUUUUAAAAAAGAAAGACAUCAAAAUCAAUUUUGAGUUUUAGUGUUUUACCACAUCAUAAGUAGUUUGUAAAAUAGACAAAACAAGCUAAAAAUUAAUAGAAAUUUCUAAAAGACGGAUUUUGAACAUGAGGUGCCAAACGAUUAAUUUACUGAAAUCAACACCGUCUUUGAUCAUUUUCACCAUCUAUAUAUAUCUCUAUGAAUUAAUAUUAUUCAUAGACAUAUAAUGCAGGUGCUGAAAUAGGUGUUUGUUAUGGAAUGGUUGGUGACAACUUACCAUCAAAACCAGAUGUCAUAGCUCUUUACAACCAAAACAACAUCAGAAGAAUGAGACUUUAUGAUCCAAACAGAGAAGCACUCGAAGCUUUCCGUGGCUCCAACUUUGAAGUCAUGCCAGGCCUUCCUAACGAUGACCUUCGAAGAAUCUCUUCCACUCAAGCCGAAGCAAAUACCUGGGUCCAAGAGAACGUCCAAAAUUUUGUUAACAAUGUCAAGUUCAAAUGCAUUGCUGUAGGAAAUGAAGCAAAACCAGGAGACGACUUUGCGCAGUAUCUUGUACCCACCAUGAGAAACAUACAAAACGCCAUUGACGGAGCUAACCUUGGAAGCCAAAUCAAAGUUUCCACUGCAAUUGAAUUGGGAGUUCUUGAUGCAUUCUCUCCGCCGUCAGCUGGCUCCUUUAAGCAAUUCCUUCCUUAACGAAAACAAUUCUCGAUCCCCUCAUUACCUUCCUUAACAAAAACAAUUCCCCGUUGCUGGUGACUGUAAUAUAUCUCUUGAUUUUGCACUAUUUAGGGCAGAACAACCGGUUGUUUCUAACCCUCCGUUAAGUUACCUGAAUCUUUUUGAUGCCCAGUUUGAUGCUACUUAUGCUGCAUUGGAAAAGCCGGUGGGGGCUCGUUGGAUAUUGUGAUAUCGGAGAGUGGGUGGCCGGCGGCAGGUGGUGACGGAGCGUUAACGAACGUUGAUAAUGCAAAGACUUAUAAUAAUAACUUGAUACAGCAUGUGAAGCAAGGGUCACCAAAGAAGCCAAGGCCUAUUGAGACUUACAUUUUUGCUAUAUUUGAUGAGAAUGGAUAAAAAGGAAGAUGAGAUUAAGAGGCAUUGGGGACUUUUUGCUCCAGAUAAGCAGCCUAAAUACCAAGUUAAUUUUAAUUAAUUAACCAAAUCAGAGUAGCUUCAUGCGGCAGCAGAUUUGAAGUUAAAUUUCUAAUGCAAUAAAUUAUUGCACAAUAUGUAUUAGUAAUCAAGAGUUUGCAUCAUUACCUUGCAUCGGUGCACGAGGCCAAAUUUCAUUAUCAAUAAUGUCAUGGUUACGGUAUUUAAUUAUAUAUCACUGCCUCUUUCAAUUUUUGAAUAGCUUAAUUAACAUGCAAUGUAAUUUUUCCUUGGCCAUUGUGCAAUGUAAAAAUGCCCCAACAAUACCAAAUUAAUUUGAACUAGUAAGAACCCAACAAUGGAUUAAGCAAAAUUAAAGGGCACUUCCUUUUAAAUAUUUUAUGUAUGAAUCAAAACCAUGCACAGAUUUGAAUCUCAAACAUCCUGUAGCAGUCCAAGUCUCCAAGAGUCGAUAUUAAUUAGCUAGGAAGAAAAAAAGAACAGAGCAAUCCCACUUAGUUUAAUAUAUAAAUAAAUAAAGUUAACUAAAAAAGAUGGCUACAAAUUUUUUCCCUAGGUAUUGAACGCACAAAGACACGUGGCAGUAUCGGGAGCCCUUCAAAAAGUCAAAGUCAACGAAAUAAACGUGUCCAUAUGAGCUCAGUCAAUGAAAAAUUUUUAGAAUACUUCGUAUGUAUUACAUACUAAUUGAUGCAUGCAUGACGUGUAUAGUUGAAUUUAAUACAAUUACCACUUGCAUGAUAGUUUUUUAAAAUAACUACACACAUAUCAUGACAUUAUAUGUUUGUUGUAUGACUGAUAUGGUACCUCAAAUGUAUUCUAAAAUUUCUCCUGUCAAUAUGUAGUCCACGAAAGUUAACAUGGAGCUAUGAUCCGUUUUGAAAAGGCGCCGGAUCCGGGUUUGCCAAUUUCCCAACUCCCAAGCACAAAAAAGCUACCGGGCAAUUACAAAGUGAGCUCGUUUAACCAUUCAAUCCACUAUGGCCAAUGGGCCGUACCGGCACCAACUAUCGGCCCACAAGGGCUCGUGGGCCGGCACGGCACGGCCCACUAAAUUGGUGGGCCGUGCCGUGCCUACAUUUUUUUCAAUUGAGCCCGGCGGCCGUGCCCAAAAAAAGCCCACCAACAUUUUUUUUUUUAGCGUGCUUUAUUCAAGCCCACGUGUCUGACGUGUUUUUUUAAGCCCACCAACAUAAUAAUAAUAAUAAUAAUAAUAAUAAUAUUCACAAUCAUAAUCAUAUUAAUUUUUAUUAAGAGAGCAAUUAACAUUUUAUUAUUAGUUUAUCAAUUUUGGCCCACGUGUUAUUAAUGGUUCACGGGCCGCGUGCUAGCCCACUAAUGAACCGUGCUUAUUACGUGCUUUUUCGUGUGCCGUGCUUUGGCCAAUCUCUAAUCGUGCCGUGAUUUAAGGCCCGCGUGCCUAAAAUUCUAGGCCCGGCACGGCCCACGUGCGUGCCGUGCCUCGUGCCUCACCGAAACGUGCUCGUGCCGUGCAGUACGUGCCCGUGCCGUGCCACGUGCCGCCCGGCCCAUUGGCCACCUUUACAUUCAAUCACCAUGCGGUCUGAAAAGUCAACGAGCUUAAAUCAUAACAACGUACGUUGGACUGCACUGAAUUGAAAUAUCUCUUUAAUCUAUUAAAGGUCACGUCCAAUUUAAACCCGAUCACAGGUCACAUCCCACCCAAAUUGGCUUAGCACUGGUUUGGAAUCGGCCUGAUUUGCCACUUGUUGAAACUUUUAACACCCUUCUAAAGUCCUUAUAACACCCCAUUCCAAAUUUAUUUUUUAAAAAAACCUAGCUUUAAAUGUUUAAAGAAUAAUAAUAUAGCCGCAAACUAUUGUACAAAUUUAUUUUAUACAAAUUGAUGUGGCAUGAUAAAAUUAAUUGAAUUAAAUAUCUUUUGGCUCACAUAAUUUAUUUCUAUUAUUUUAUACUUUUAUUCAAUUAAUGAAUUAAUGCCAUAUCAGUUUGUAUAAGAUAAGUUUGUACAAGAGUUUAUGGUUGUAUCAUCACUCAUGUUUAAAACCCAAAAUUAAAACCAACCAUCAUGCUGUACUAAAAAAAAAAAAAUCAACCAUCAUGAUAUAAAAAUUCACCCUAAUAAAAAUAUUUCUUUUACCCUUUCAUAGUUACAUAGUCUUUAAUGUUUCUCAUAUUAUAUAAUAUAAAGGUAGAGUUAUUUUCACUCUAAAAAUUAGUCUGAAUAUUUUAUUAUUUUGAACACUCAUCUACAUAUUUUUUUUAAAUAAUUUUAUUUUUUACACUAUGUCAAACCUUUUAAACUAAUUAUCAUUUAUUUACUAUAUACACCUAUAAAAAAUACUCAAUUCACUAAAAGAAAAAAAAAAUAAGAAGAAGAAGACAUCUUCAAUUCUUUUUGUAGAAAAUAUUUCAUGUACUUAAUCAAAUCCAUCAAGUUCGAAAAACAAAACUCAUUUUCUUGAACAAGCAAAGAAGAAAUAAUUUAAAUUUCAAACUUAUUAUUUAUCUAACCAUGACACAGCUUCAAUUUUAAAAAUUAGCCGUGAAAUCAAGCUGCAAAUUAAGUGAAGUAGAAGCUCUAUGUGAAAGUGCCUUAAAAAUAUUACUUAAAUAGAAGAAGCAUAAAUGCAUGAGAUGAAACCAAUUAUAGGAAGAAAUCAUUAAAGUUAACGAAUCAUCACCAGAUUUUGCCAACGUAACAGCAGAUUGCUAGAUGUCAUGAAGCUGAAAAUUGAUUGGAGUAAUUAAUAAAAGUUUGUUUGCUAAAUCAAAAUGGUUCGUAAUAGCUUCUUUGCAAAUAUUUGUAAAAGUUUUAGGGUAAAAGGUAGAUUAUUGUUUAUAUAUUCAAAGAUCGAGUUUACUAAUUAUAUGAGCGUUUAAAGUAAUUAUGUUUGAUUUACUUAAAGUAGAUUAAUAAUAAAUCAUAUCAUAAGUAUUUUUAUAUUGAAUUAUUUUAUUAAAAUAAGAGUGUUCAAAAUCAAUUUUAGAGUGUAAAGCAUCCUGCUCAUUGUACAGUUAAGAGCAAUAAUACCUAUAAAAAAAAAAUAGAAAACUAGUUGGUAUUAUAGUUUUUUCUUUUAUUGGGACCUCACAAGUGAGAGUAAAUAAAAUUAAAGAAAAAAUGAUAUUACAAUCAAGGUGGACACCAAAACCUUAUUCAAAAAUAAAAUAUGAAAAAUAGUGACCGCAGAAAAAUAAACUUUAAGUUGGAGUUUUUCCAACGUAGUUAGAAUUUAAUUGUAUUUAUCUUCAUACAUAGUCUUUCGAUAUACUUUACUUAAUCUGGCUGGUUUGGAAGCGAGGAAUCGAUGAUUCAAAUUUUGAAGUGAUGGAAUCUCAAAAGAAUAAUGAUAUUUACACAUGAUACUGCCCAUAAAAUUGCACAGAAUCAUUAAAAAUAACGAAUGACAGAUUCAUUCACUUUAUAAAUUUUAUUUUUAUAUACAGGUAUCCUCAUUUUAUCUGCGAUAUAUAAUUUUGUGAGAGAAUGUCAAGUACAAAUAUCAUUUUCCAUUUCAGAAACAAAAUUUGGGGCAGUGGAGAUCAAAUUAAUCUAGCGUCGUUGGCGCUGACACUAUAUAUAUAGUGCUAGAUAUAAUUUAGGGCAUUGUCCAUCAUUUCAACAACUUAACGCUACAGCCCAUUUAAUUUAUUUAUGUUUAUACCCGACCGGUGUAUGAAUUGUUUUACUAGUGCACCUGAAGCAUCCGCAUAGCAGCAGUGCCAGCCAUUCACAAUUAUUAUAAUGUACUUAACUGCAAUCAUUGGCUAAUCAGUGAGCCAUUGGACCCGCGCAAGCUCCCACGUUAUGUUGCUGUAGUAGUGGCCCAUGUGCCACAAUAUUGUAUGGGUUAUAAUUGAAAUUUAAAUAAUAAAAUAAAUAACGGACUGAAAUUUUAUUGAUCAAUUGAAAAAAUUUAAAUGUCCAUUUCGAUAGAAAGUGAGAAUAAAAUUUUUAUUGAAAUUGAUUCUCUCUCCACUGUAUAUCAAGUUAAUUUUUUAUUUAUUAGAAAAGUGAGUCAUUUUAAAAGAAUUAAGAGAAAGAAAUCAAUGUUGUUAAAUAUUUAAUUAUUAUGGUGAAACUUGAUAAAAAUUUUGUUAUGGAUCAAAGUAUGUUUUCUUUCAAUUAUAAUGAUGUGAAAAUCAUAAUUUAAGAAUUAAAGUUUAUGUAAAUUAAGAUUUUCUUGCUCAUGAAAAUUAUAAAAAAGAAGAAAAGAAAAAGAACAAGACAUCCUUUUUGUAGAAAAUAUUUUAUGUACUUAAUCAAAUCCAUCAAGUUCGAAAAAAGAAACUCAUUUUCUUGAACAAACAAAGAAGAAAAUUUCAAACUUAUUAUUUAUCUAGCCCUGACACAGCUUCAAUUUUAGAAACUAGUCGUGAAAUCAAGCUGCAAGUUAAGUGAAGUAGAAGCUCUAUGUGAAAGUGCCAUAAAAAUAUUACUUAAAUAGAAGAAGCAUAGGAAGAAAUCAUUAAAGUUAACGAUUCAGCACCCGAUUUGGCCAACGUAAUAGCAGAUUGCUAGAUGUCAUUAAGCUGAAAAUUGAUUGGAGUAAUUAAUAAAAGUUUAUUUACUGAAUCAAAAGGGUACGUAAUAUCUUGUUUGCAAAUAUUUGUAAAAGUUUUAGGGUUUAAGAUAGAAGAUUGUUUAUAUAUUCAAAGAUCGAAUUUACUAAUUAUAUGAGCGUUUAAAAUAAUUAUGUUUUAUUUACUUAAAGUAGACUAGUAAUAAAUCAUAUCAUGAGUAUUUUUGUAUUAAAUAAUUUUAUUAAAAAAUAAUUUUUUAAAAGAAAUUAACCAUGGCAAAUUACGGAAAACUUUAUUUAUAUAAAAAGCAAAAAAAAAGCCAAUACAAAUCAGGUGGACGAAAUAAACCUUACCUCCAAAAGAAUGCCCGGUGGUAAAAUAAAAAAGAUUCAAGGCUCUGUGAAAGAGGCAACCAAAAAAGAUAAAUGAGAACCGAAAGCAAACAAGAAAAAAGCCUAUAAAAUCUAUAGUUGGGGGAAACCAUUAGCAUAUUUAUUAAUAAAGCUUCCAAUCUCCGAUAGCGGUGAGCUCCACGAGCUAAAUUACGACAAACCGACAACUAAAUUAGCCAAAGUGAUUGCUACAUUAUUGUUCUAUCUGUAGAUGAAGGAAAAAUAAAAAUUCAUACCCUACUGUCAUGCAAAAAGCUUACGACAAUUGUAUCAUCGUUUGCAAUGAGUCCAACGUUUUAAUAGUUUCUUUUUCUAAAUAACAUUAUUUCAAUAAUUUAAUGCUACAUCAAAAUUAAUUUAUGUUCAUACUCGACUACUGUAUGAAUUAUUUUAUAUUUAAUUUUUAUAAAAUUGAUGCAACGUAGCAAACGAUAAUACUAUACUUAGUUUGAAUACCAACUGAUGCAGUAUUUCUUAAUUGGCUCAAACGAUGGUCAUAAAGUCUAUCCCACGUAAUAAAGUACGAAGCGAGGGAAACUUUAUUUGCAUAAAAAAACAAAGCCAACACAAGUCAAGGGACGUAAUAAAGUAACUUACUCAUCUACAUUCGAAAAGAAUCAACAAAAAGAUAGAUGAAAGCCAAUAGUAAAAAUGAAUAAAAUCAGUGAGAUAUUUAGAAAUAAGAUUUUGAAUCUCCAUCGGUGGUGAGUUCUACCAGCUAAAUGAUGACAACCAACACCGAAAUCAGCCAAAACGUCUGCCAGAUAGACAAUAUAGAAAUGCGAAUGCUCAAGUUAAAGACCAAUUUAUACAAGAAGGCUCUGAGGAUUUUUUUCCCCCAUAUUUUGCAAAACUAUGAUGGCCAUGAUAUUUACCAUAUUUUCAUGAAAUAAUGGCAAAGAUCUUGGCUCAUAAUUGACUUAAUUGAAAAGCUUCAAAAUCAUAUCUCAAGGAUCCUUAUGUGAUCCUCCUAGUUUUUUCAAAUGCACCUGAAGCAUCGGCAUGGCAGUAGUGGCCACCCAUUCACAAUUAUUAUCAUGUACAUAACUACAAUUAUUGCUUAAUCAGUCAGCCAUCGGUCCCAUGCAAGCUCUCACGUUAUUUACGUAAUUGAACUAUAGACCUUAAUCCGUCUUCUACCACUCAACAAUCAAGCAUCAGCCGUCGAUCCCUCAUCCACUAACCCCGUUGCCACCGAUGGCUACUUGAAUUUAUAUGUAUUUUCAAAUUAUAAACAAUGGCCAAUCAUAUAUUAUAUAGCUUCAUGUCGGCUACCCGUGUAUAUAUUGUGUUAUACCACACCGGAAGCAACCACAAUCAAAAGACUAGCAAACGCUCCUUAAUUACUUGUGCAGAAGCUAGCAGAGAUAUUUUCUGAUUUGAAGAACAUGGAGACUGUUUAUGCAGGUAAUUCAUCAGGCCAUAUUAAGUUGAAUUCCAUUUAUAAUUCUUACAUUAAUAUAUGCCGUUACGAACAGGUUUUCUGAUUUGAAAUUUUCAGCCAAUAAGGAAUGGUUGGAGGCUAGCAUCGCUCCAUUUCAUGGCUGUAUGAUUGAUGAUGGGAUUGGAAAUAACAAUCUUGAUCUCCUUGUAGCCCCUCAAUAUGGAAGAAACCCUGAUGAAUCUGGUUAAGUGCAGUGUUAAAGUAAAAGGAUGUCAUGGGCACCAUAGCCAGUAAAUUGUGUGAGUGCAUUUCGGUUUGCUUCAUUCCGAAUAAUAAGAUCUCUUAGAAUAUAUAAGAGAUUUUCUUGUUCACAUCUAUGAACUUUGUUUUCUUUGAACUAAAUAAAUAAAACUGCUGUGUGUCAGUUUGUUAUUCAAAUUAAUCAGGAUUAUGCUCUCUCUUCUUAAAUACCUUUUGCUACAAACUGCAUUUACUAAUUUAAAUAGUGUUAGUGAUUCCUCCAAUGAUGCAGUUUCUUCACUCUCAAUCAAUAAAAAAAAUGAGAUUGGUACUAACCUUGCUUCCAGUUUCAACUGGCGGUGAGCUCCAUCAGCUAAAUUGUGACAAUUGAUACUAAAAUCAGCCAAAGUGACUACUACAUUACUGUUCUCUCGGUAUGUGAGGGAAAAAAAAUUAAAAACUCAUUAAAAAGUUAUACCCUACUAUCGUGCAAAACAAUUAUGACAAUUGUAUCACUGACUGCAAGGAGUCCAUCAUUUCAAUAAUUUCUUUUUCUGAAAAAUGCCAUUUCUAUAAUUUAAUGCUACAGCCAAAUAAUUUAUGUUUAUCCUUGAUUGGUACAUGAAUUAUUUUAUUGGUGGGAUUAUUUGUAUUUGAAAAAUUAUUUGAAAAAUUCAAUUUUUUUUAAAAAGUUAAAUUCUUUGAAUUGCUUAAGAUUGAUUACAGCGAGACUACAAGUGAUAGAGAACAAAUCUCUUUUUACCAAGAAUCCUAACUCUCAGUAGUAGCCACUAAACUCAAUCGAAAAGAAUGCUCCGUGAUCAGCCUCUCCUUUGUGUUUUAUACAACUCCUGGUCAUAACAAAUUUACCACAUACUGGCACACAAUAAGCUGACUCACCAUGCCACAUCAUCAGUAACUAAAUAGAAUGUAACUAACUUUCAGCUUCACAAAUUUCCACCUUAGUUCAUUCUGAAACAGCUUCACCUACCUCUUCAGCAACUACUAACUCGGUUUACAAGCUAUCAACACCAAUCAAGUUCAGAGAGUUUGUAAACUUGACUGCAUGGACUGCUUUAGUUAAAAUAUAUGCUGGAUUAGUCUGAGUAGGAACCUUGACAACAUUAACUACAUCAUUUGUAAUUUCAUCCCUGACAAAAUGCAACCUAACAUCAAUGUGUUUUGUCCUUUCAUGAUAUUUAGGAUUCUUACUGAGCUGAAUUGCACUGGAGCUGUCACAACCAAUGCAAACCGAAUCCUGCUUCAACCCAAACUCAGAAACUAAUCCACUUAGCCACUUUGCCUCUUUUACUGCUUCUGUAAAUGCAAUGUACUCAGCCUCAGUUGUGGAUAAAGUAACCACCGACUGAAGAGAGAUGUUUUCCAACUCACUGCCCCUCCAUUUAAAAUGAAAACAUAUCAUGUAAUGGACAUUCUCUUGUCCAGAUACCUUAACAACCACUUAACAACAUUCUAAUGUUCCCUUCCUGAAUUCCCCAUAAACCUACUAACAACCAUCAUGAUCUACAUCAGGUCUUGUACAAACCAUAGAAUACAUAAUGCUACCAACUGCACUUGAAUAGGGCACUGUCUUCAUAUACUCAAGGUCUUGAUCCUCUUCUGGUUCCUGAAGCUUUGACAAUCUGAAGUGUGCUGACAGAGGUACUGACACAGGCUUUGCACCACUCAUCUCAAAUCUGCUAAGGACCCUUUUAACAUACACAGCUUGAGUAAGAAACAAGGUUCUUGAAUUUCUGUCCUUCACAAUUUGCAUUCCCAGAAUUCUUGUAGCAGUCCCCAAAUCUUUCAUUUCAAAUGCAGAAUUCAACUCCAUUUUUAGCCUUUCAAUCUCCUCUCUCCUUUUGCAUGUAAUAAGCAUGUCAUCAACAUAAAGAAGGAGGUAAAUACCAUCUCCAGAAGAUAAAGUUUUAAAAUACAGACGGCUAUCAUAUUGGCUUCUGCAAUAUCCAUGGCUGAUCAUGAACUCAUCGAACCUCAAAUACCACUGCCUUGGAGACUAUUUCAGCCCAUACAAGCUCCUCUUCAACAAGCAUACCAUAUCUUGAGUCCCUUCUUCAAUGAACCCCUCAGGCUGAUCCAUAAGAAUUUCUUCUUCAAGACUCCCAUGUAAGAAGGCAGUCUUUACAUCCAUUUGAUCCAAUUCCAGGUCUUUGAAUGCUGUUAUUGCUAGUAGAACUCUUAUGGAACUAUAUUUGACAACAGGGGAGAAUACCUCAUUAAAGUUCACUCCAUGCUUUUGUGUGAACCCCUUUACUACAAGUCUUGCCUUAUACCUAGAGGCUCACCAUCAGCAGUCCCUUCUUUAAUUUUAUAGAUCCAUUUGCAUCUUGAGGUUUUAUCUUGAGGCUUAUCAUCAACCUCAAGAUAAAAGGCUCACUAUCAGCCUUUUAUCUUGAGAUUUCUUGACCAAAAUCCAUGUGUUAUUCUUCUUUAGUGAGAUGAUUUCUUCAUUCAUGGCAUCCAGCCAUUUUGCUCUAUUUUACUGCUCGUAGCUUGUUUGUAGUUUAUAGGCUCUUCACCAAUAACUUCCUCAAUUACUGCCACAACAUAAGAGAGCAUAUCAACUAUGCCAUACCUUUUGGGUAACUUAAUGACUCUCCUUUCCUUGUCUCUUGUAAGCUGAUAAUCAUGUGUUUGAGAAGUGAUGUGUGUUUUCUGAUAAGACUUGGAAUCCCUUUCUGCAGCUUUUUUAUCUUCACUUGACUCCACCUCAAAGUUGUAUUCCUUAUCCUCAUUUGAAUCAUGUGUAAUGAGCUCUGUUUCUACCCUCUGAUGCUGCAUAGACUCUUCAUCAAACACAACAUCUCAGCUAAUAAGAGUUCUUGUAGGUUUGCCAUCUAUGCACCAGAGCUUAUAUCCUUUGACACCCUCUGGAUAUCCUAUGAAGUAACCCUUAACAGCUUUUGGCUCUAACUUUCCCUGGUUUAUGUGAGCAUAAAUAAGGCAGCCAAAAACCCUGAGGUUGCUGAGAUCGGGAGGCUUUCCUGACCAAACUCCCUGAGGAGUCUUGAAAUGCAAGGCUGCUGAAGGGCUCUUAUUGACCAAGUAAGUUGCAGUGGUAACAACUUCUGCCCAGAAGUGUUUUGAAAGGUUUGCAUUAAACAACAUGCACCUUACCUUUUCAACUAAUGUCCUAUUCAUCCUUUCGGCUAACCCAUUUUGCUGAGGUGUGUGUGUUGGGAAAAUAUGCUCUUUAAAAGCAUAUGUGUUUAUUUAAUUGUAAUAAACAAUUUUUCUGAUUAAUAAAAUAAAUGAGAUAUUUUAUUCAAAUAUCUUAAUUGCAUUAAUAUUUGUAUUAAAUUCCAUUUAAUCAUAUUAUAUGUAUUUAUGUGAUCACCAUGUGGAUUCAUAGAAGACAUAAAUACAAGUUAUCUUAUGAUUAAAUAAAUUUAGUUCGCAGUUGAUAAAUAAAGUUGGGCACUUUAUUUAGGUAUAGACUGUAAUAAAUUCAUUAAAUGAUUUGUAUUAAUCAUGUAUGAAUUUAUUGAUGCAGUACGACUACAUUGAACAAUAUCACAUAUGAGAUUUAAUUAACUUUGUAAUAACUGUCAGACUUAUUAAAUCUCAUAGGCGUUGAUUUUACUGUAAUCUUAAUCUUGAGUUAAUUAUGAUUUCAUGAUUGUAAUUGUUAUUCCAUUUGAGUUACCAAUGGGCACGACACAUACUACAGCAGAUUGUGGUUAGGAGUUUUAAAAGUAAUUUUUAAAAACUAAAAUCUGGUUUUAGUAUUUUGUAAUUUUUUUUCCUAAGUCACUUUGACAAAAUCAUAUCAUUUUAUAGUAAUUUUAAAAACUAAACUCCAAUUUUGGUGCAGUUUUUGCACUUUUACUUAUAUAUCCUCAUAUUUCUUAUACAAACCUGAAAUUACCUCAUUUUCAUGUGGUUUCAAGGUAGAUAAGGAUAAACUUGAAAGCUGUUGUCCUCUCUUUUCCUUUUCAUUAAGACAAAAAAUCAAACUUGUAACUCAAAAAAUCAAAUAUAUCUCUCCCUUUUUUUUAAAUAUUUUUUUAUCUAAGAGGAUCAUUGAUUUAAUUUCACCUCAUUCUCCCCAAUGAAAUUUGAAGAAGGACCUCGACUCUUAUCACUUGAGCUAAGCCUUCAUCUAAAAAAGGGUUUAAAAUUUUAAUUAAUUUAUUUCAGACGAUAGAAUUUAAUUAAUAUGUUUCAGAUGAUAUUAAAAUUUAAUUAAAAUUCUAUUAUUAUUCUUUUGGGUUCUUUUUUGAAUGUUAACAUAAGGUCCACUCUUAGAAAUUCUGAAUCCCUAAAGCCUUCAUAGCAUCUUCAGGCCUAACCCGCAGUGUUUAAAAUGUAAAAUGCCAUAUGGCCAACAAUUGGGCCGAGCUAAAUCCCACUGGAAUGGCAAAAGGCCAAUGAAAUGGCAAAGUGCUACAUUUUAGCUGCUGUACGGCCAAGGCGGAUGUACGGUACAGCAGAAAAUUUAAAAACCUAAUUUUUCUCAUUUUGCCUUGCAGUUUUGUGCCUGACUAUCCCCUUCUUGAUGCAGAGUUGAUCAAAAUCAUUGCAGCAAUACUUGAGCCCAUUAUCUGUUCUUAGCCUCUCCACCCUCCUCUUUGUUUGAUUUUCCAUUAAAGUCAGUCAUUUUUUAAACUUUUCAAAAGCCUCACUCUUCUGCUUCAGUAAUAUACCCAGACUUUCCUUAAAAAGUCAUCAAUAAAAGUAAUGAAGUAUUUGGCUUCUCCAUGAGAAAGAACCUGAGAGGGCCCCUACAGGUCUGAAUGGAUAUAAUCCAUUGUAUUUUUAGUUUCUUGUUUUCCUAGAUUAAACUUUUGUCUAGUUGCUUUACCAAACACACACUUUUCACAGAAUUCAAGUGCUGAAAUUUGGUCAGUUCCUAGUAAUCCUUGUUUACUCAACUCUUUUAAUCAUUUCUCACUCAUGUGUGCUAGUCUCAUGUGCCAAAGCCUGGUUUUAUCAUUACUUACAUUGGUAAUAACAUCAGGUAACACAACUGAGCCAUUAAGCAUAUACAAUCCAUUUCUCCUACUAUAUUUCAUUAUGACUGUACCACCUUUAAGGAUCUGAAGUUACCAUUUUCUGCCCUUAUACAGCAGCCCAAUUGGUCUAUCAUUCCUAAAGAUAUGAGGUUUCUUUUAAGCUCUGGAACAUAUCUUACUUGUUCCAAGCUUCUGAUUGUACCAUCAUACAUUUUAAUAAUAACAGACCCUAUUCCAGCAACUUUAUAGGCUAGAUUAUUCCCAAGCAAAACUUUACCACCAUCAAACAUUUUCAAAAGUCACAAAGAAAUCUUUAUGUGGGCACAUAUGGAAAGAACACCCUGAGUCAAGUAUCCACUCACCAGAAGAUUUCUUAUCUGUUGCAAUAAGAACAUCCGCAUCUUCUGAUUCUCCUUCAUCUACAGAUACAACAUCAGCUUUCCCACUUGAUUCUUUCUGUAACUUUUCAAGCUUCUUUUUUUCAAAACAAUCUUUUAUAUAAUGCCCUUCCUUUUGACAUAAGUAGCAUUUCCUUUUCUUCUUCUUCUUGUCAGUCUUUUCUUUCUGAUUUUUGUUCUUCUUGUCUUUGUUCACCUUUUUCUCUGUCUUUGCUUUGGCAACUAAUCCAUCCCUAGCACUAUGAUCCUUGCCAUCUGCUCUCAUUUUCAAGUCUUUUGAUUCAAGAGCAUUCUUGACAUCUUUCAAGGUGAGAGUUUGUCUUCCACAGAGCAAAGUGUCCACGAAAUGUUCAUAGGUGUCUGGUAAUGAGCUUAACAGGAUAAGAGCCAUAUCUUCAUCAUCAAGUAUGAUGAUGACAUUUUCAAAAUCGAGUAUCAGUUUAUUUAACUCAUCAAGAUGAUCCUUCAUGAUUGUCCCCUCCUUUAUUGAAAAUGUGUAGAGCUUCCUUUUUAUGUAUAAUCUUUUAGCCAUAGAUUUCUUUAAGAAAAUUUCUUCCAACUUCGCCCACAACCCAGAGGCAGUCUUCUCUUUGGCUACUUCUCUCAACACCUCAUCAAAUAGGUGGAGUAUAAUUGUGCUGUGAGCUUUGUUGUUUAUGGUCCUCAAGUCUCCAUCUGAACCUGACGAACCUUCCCCCUUUUCUUUCUUGGACUUUGAUUCUUCAUCAUCAUUGAGGGCACUAUCUAAGCCCUGUUGAAUCAAGAUGGCUCUCAUUUUCAGACUCCAUAAGUAGAAAUCGUUUUCACCAUUAAACUUUUCAAGAUCAAACCUAGUGGCUGCCAUUCUUGAAGAUCAAGAACAGAGAGCUUAUCAGCUCUAAUACUAGUUUGUUAAGAAAAAGAUGAACAGAGAUAAACCAAGAUUUGGCCAAACAAAAACAAGAACAGAGAUAAACCAAACUCCAAAAAGAAAAGCUUUAUUGCUUAAGAUUGAUUACAACGAGACUACAAGUGACAAAGAACAAAUCUCUUUUAACCAAGAAUCCUAACUCUCAGUAUUAGCCACUAAACUCAAUCGAAAAGAAUGCCCCGUGAUCAGCCUCUCCUCAGUGUUUUAUACAACUCCUAGUCAUAAUGAAUUUACCACAUGCUGCCCACAAUAAGUUGAUUCACCGUGCCACCUCAUCAGUAACUAAACAGAAUGUAACUAACUUUCGGCUUCACAAGAACAAAAAAAAAAUUUGUCUAAUUAACUUUUGGUUCAUGAUAAUAGAGUAUUGAUGAAAAAUUUGUUGAAGUGAGUAUCCUCUAAUAGCCACGCUGAUUAAUUAAGAUGCAGGAAAAAUUACUCAUCGUCUAUUAUUGAAUAAAUUUUAAUUCUUAUUUCAUAAUUUAUUUUUUAAUUUUGACCAAUUGUUAGUUGGUUGUCGAGAAAGAAUAUAAAUGUAAAGUGAAAAGAGAUUUAAUUUAGGAUAAUUUUGUUAUUUCUAAGAAAGUAUGUUGAGUAAAAACUUAUUUUUAGAAUUUUCAAUAGGUCUCUUCAGUGAAACAGUAUUCUAAGUGUGAAAACUAUAGGCAAACGAUAUCGAAAAUGUAAAUCCACUCUCGUAUUAUUCAAGUGGCGAGCUCAAAGACCAAGUUAUACAAGAAAGUUGAUAACGUAAAAGGAACGUAUCAAUCACCAUGAUUUGAGGUUUUUUCCUCAUAUUUGCAAUAUCAUGUCAAUGGCCGUGAUAUUUACCAUAUUUACAUGAAAUAAUGGCAAAGGUGGCUCAUAAUUGAUUUAAUUGAGAAGCUUUAAGAUCAUAUCUCAAGAAUCCUAAUGUGAUCCUCCUUAUUUUAUUAAUGCACCUGAAGCAUCUGCAUGGCAAUAGUGGGCACCCAUUCACAAUUAUUAUUCGGAACUUCACUGCAUUAUUGGUUAAUCAGUGAUCCAUUGGACCUCUGCGUAAUUGAACGAUAGCUGUUAAUCCGUCUUUUACCAAUCUACAAUUACAUAUCGGUGGGCGGAACCAACAUUUUAGUUCGUAAUUGCCGUGAUAUUUUACAAGUUACGAGUUUUCUUGAAAAUUUAAUUUAAGGCCACCGAAAUGUAUCACAAAUGACUAGUUUCCUUAAUUUUUUUUUCCUUAUAUUUCAUAAAUUUUCAAAAAGUUCGCAACCAUCAACUUGUACAUCGUUCCGACUAUGAUCAUCAACUUACCCGUUGUCCCCCAGAGCUACUUGAAUUUAUAUGUAUUUUUAUAUCAUAAAUUAUUUCCAGUGACAUGUUAUGUGUUUCAUGUCGGCUUCUACUGUCUAUAUAUUAUGUUGUAUAUCACAGGUAUUUCAUUGGGACAAGUUAAGUUUUGAAUUCCUUUUAUAAUUCAUAUAUAAAUACAUGCAUUUAUGAAUAAGGAUUUGAAAUUUUUAAUGCUCGGAGAUUAGCAUUACUCCUUUAUUUCAUGGUUGUAUAAUUGAUGAUGGGGAGGCAAAUGAGAAUCUUGAGAGAAAUCGUGACGAGUCUGGUUAAGUGGAGUGCUAUUCUUUUGUGUUAUAUUUUAUUAUAUAAAAGGAUACAAUGAGUCGUAUUCCAUGUCAAUUGUGUGAGUGCAUGUCGGUUUACUUCAAUUAUAUAUAUAAGAUAUUUUCUUGUUCACAUCUAUGUAUGUUAUUUUCCUUAAACUAAAUAAUUAAUACCCAGAUGGGUAAAUGAUCCAAUUACCACCCUUCUUUUUUUUUUUGAGGAGUUCAAAAAUACUAUGAUGGCUCCGUUGCUUUAUAUAUUUAUUUCUUUUGUGAUUUAGCAAUCCCAAAGUUUCUUUUUUUUUUUCAAAUCAAAAUAAAAAAAUAAAAAAAUAAAAAAUAAUCUUUUUUUUUUUUUCGUACUCUUUCAUACCAUAAAUCUUGUUAAUUGUUAAGAACCUUCUGGCGUGAAAAAGGUGUGUGGCGCUGCAAUAGGCCUCCGAUAGGUAAGAUAAACUCGGAAUAUCCCUUCUUUAUCUCAUACUACUGCUUCGAUACAUAAUCAAAUAUUUUGAAAAAAAAAACACUGACAAUUUUCAUAUCGAAUUCAAAGUGCCAUGCUAUUAUUACAUAAUAUUAAGAAUUCAUAUGGCGAAGGCAUAGUCUUCUUUUUUCUCUCUCAAAUUAUUGUGAGUCACUAAAUAUCAGUUUGUUGUUUAAGUUACUCAUGAUUAUGCUCAAUCUUCUUGAAUACUUUUUUGAAACAAACCUCAUAUGUUGGUUUGUUAAUUAAAUACUAUUAGUUAAUCCUCUUCAGUUAUUUGUGGUUUCUUCACACUCAAUCUUUAAGGAUAAAAAAAGAGAGAUUAAGGCUCCUCUUGAGAUUAAGGUUGAAAUGCUAUAAGCGAUUUAUUUCAUAAGUUUUUGAAAAAAAAUAGUAUUUGGUAAAUUUUUUAAAAACUAUUUAUUUCAUAAGUUUUUGUAAUUUGACUUAAACUUUUAAAAAUAGAUAAAAGGUUUUUUUUUUAUAAACAACUUAUUAAAUAAACCAUCACACCUUUUUAAAAUUCCUAUUAUAACCUUAAUAAUUUAAUUAAAAGAAACAAUAAUGCUAUGAUUACUCAGUUUUGAUACUUAGGACUUGUGUGUCUAAAGUUUUAGUUUGACUUAAGUUAAGAUGUUUUGGUAUUUUUGCUUGUUUGUUUUUAUAUAUGAAGUUUGUUUAAAAAAAUUUUCAUUUGAAUGAAAUAGGGCAACCGAAAGCAUGUGGCGCACAUCCUCCAUUUUUGGUAACUUUAGAUCGCAAUCUGUUAGUUAUUUCGCACAAAAUUCAGUCUGUCAUUGCUCCAGGAUUGUUACAGCAACGGCUACAGCAUCUUCACAAUUUCAAACUUGUUUUACUUCUUCUGCAGCCAAGUUAUUCUGCCAUCUUUGCAGGUGUGUUGUAGCCGCUUUCCAUCCCCGAAAAUUGAGCUUUGUAGUUACAUACAAUCAUGCACAUAAUCUAAGCACAAGAUGAUCGAAAACAAAUUCAAUUUAUUGAAAAUAAAAUAAAAUGGAUGCUAAUGCAAAAUCUAAGUAAAAUGCGAUAAAAACACAUCAUUUACUCUCUAAGUAUUAUUGAUUUAAGUCUAAAACUACCAUAAUAACUCUCAUUCUAUAGAGCUCUCACAUGACUCUCACUCAAAGUCUGCUCUGUAUUAGAGACCUCACUAGAAUCAAUGUUGUUCAACUCAUUUUCUCUAGAUGAGGUUGAAGCCUAGGAGACAUCCUCCUAAUGUUGUCUCUAACACUGAUAUCACCUAUAGCUUCUAGGGGAAUUUUCGGGACGAAAACAGGUUUCCUAAAUAAACUAGGAAAAAACUAUAGUUCAUCAUCAUCAAUCUCAUUCACUUUCUCUCUACUGUUUGACAUUUUUCAAAUAAGCCUAAAGCUAGUACCAAAAGACUGGCAAAGCCAAGGAAAAAUCAUAAAAUUCCCAGUGAUGAAGUGCCAAAAAAAAAAAAAAACAAUACCUGAGACGAGGAAAGAUUAGAACUAAGGCAACAUUUACGGCUUGUUCCCCGGUUAGAUAAACGGCUUGGUAAUUGGAAAAAGCGAAAGAGAAAUAUGAGAAAGAUGAAGUGAUUUGGGAAAUUAGGAAUUUUGAGAAAAUGGAAGGUUUUAAUCAAUGUGUCAUUUAAGAACGUGUGCCUCGAGGGUGCUAUAACUGCUCGUUCGAAAUUUAAAUGCCUACCCCAACGUGUGCCACAUCGCAUGUAUUUAAAUCAAUGCGACCACUUGAGUGAAUAUAUGCCCACCAGUCAGGAAAGUGAAAAAUACUUUUAUCAGCCUCCUAUUAUAAGAGUCGAGCAGCUAGACUGGUCAAUGAAGUUUAUUAAGUUUUUAGUUUUGAUUCGUUUCACUCUCAGCACUAGAAACUGGAGGACUGGUAUUUGGCUGAUAAAGAGGCAAUUGUUGAAUAUUCACUCAAGCAUAAUGUGCUCUCCACGGUAACAAUUCCUUGAGAAGGGGAACAACUAGUCGAGUAUAUGUGGUUAGCUAAGGUACUUUCGAGGAGAGGACGAGUCAAGUCAAUUCAAAGACCUAAUCAAAGGGGCGACCAACAUGUACCCACGAAGAAUCCAGGUACGAAGCCCAUUUACUAGCAAUUACACUGCCCACUCAUCAACGGUUACACACUUUCUAUUUAGCCAUGAUUGCACUUCUGAGCCAACAAUGAUCGUGGGGGAGAGGAAGCCGAUAACACUAGUUUGGUAUAUAAGAUACAGAUGACUAAGGUAAAAGGAUUAUACAUUAUGUUACUUGAUUCUCUAGAACUUACUCUCCCUCUAUUUUUCAAUUUCUCUCAAUUAUCUUACUUUCUUCCUCAAAAUUAAUUCUUUUUAUUUAAAACAGUUGUAAUUAGGUCACGUGAUUGGUGGCACAAGUUUUUCUAAGUAAACCUAGAUCAUUGAUUUCAGCGUCGGAGAGUUUAUGUUGGAAAAACCUCCGGCGUUCCCUAACUGGUUGUUGUGAACAAAGGUGUCUUAGGGGGAAGAGUUCGAGGUUGCAAGAGCCCGUUCGAUAAGAAAGAAAGAAGAACAGGACCGUCUCCCCAACAACUACAAAUUUAAGUGUUGGCAUGAUUGUCUGGUCGCUACGCAACCUGACCAAAAUUCAACAUCAACAAUAUCAGUUUACCUAAUGCUUCAUUCUUCAUUUGUUUGCCAAAUAAUAUGGAAGUAGCUAUGUGGUUUUUUGCUAAAAUCUUCCAGCUCCAUUCCUUUCAUUUUAUUAUAUUUUUGUUGUUGCUCUAAUUUUUUUCCUUACUACUUAAAAUUAAAUAUCCUUAAUUGCAUGCUUGUCUCAGCAUAAUGUCACCAUUGCCAUACUGAUAGUCUAGUCACUGGCUUACUGAUUCAAGGAAAAACAUACUGCUUUUUUAAGUGCUGUUUCGAGGUUAUGAUAUAUAAUUCUUGACAAGCCCUUUGGAAGUUGUGGUACCAUGGUUGAAGAAGUAUAUGAAUCGAGAAAGAAAUUAAUAUUAACAUAAGCCUUGCCGGUAGGACUAAGAAGGAAAGAAAGUGAUAAGAUUCCUUCGUUAAUGCCAAAAGAUCAGCCAACAGAUUAUCACUCGUUAAUGCCAACAGAUCAGCCAACAAAUUAUAAAUCAUAUCUUCAAUCAAUAAAAUCAUCUCAUCAAAGUUACUUAUAUUAAGGACUCCUUGGCAAGCUCUCAAACGGUCAUAAUAUCCCAUAAUUUAAUCAUUUUAAUAUAAGGUUCCUAAACUGACGUAAUUAUGUCCUUUCCUAGUUGAAACCUUCUCUUUGUAUAUAAAUUAGAAUUGUAAUCAUCACUAAGGUGUGUGCAAUAACAUAUUUCUUUUGCAAUUAUCUUGCAUAUUAUUUCUUUAUGGUAUCAGAGCUAGCUAUGGCUAACACCUUUUAAAUUGAACCCAAACUCACCAUCCAAUCCUUCCACCAAUGCUCUAGCCUAAUAUCUAUCAAGCUUUCGAUGAAUAAUUUUCUUCUCUGGAGGUCACAAGUGCUUCCUCUUAUAAGAAGCCUUGGCCUAGAACAUCAUACUCAUGAUGAGGCAACUCCACCAAAGAUGAUAAAUAUAGCUGGAAAAGAGAGUUAGUAAUCCUGAAUUUUUGUCUUGGAAAAAUAAUGAUGGAUUACUUAUGACAUGGUUGAGAGGGAUGAUAUGUGAAGAUGUUCUAAGUUUAAUUAUUGGAGGAGAAACUUCUCUUGAAGUUUGGUUAUCUAUUGAAGAGCAAAUUUUGCCAGCUACCAAAGAGCAAGAAUCAUGGCUUAAAGAUAACCUGUACUCAAUCAAGAAGGGCAACAUACCCAUUGAUGAAUUUCUAAGGAAAUUCAAGAACCUUUGUGAUAACCUUGCUGCCAUAGGAAAACCAAUCCCAGACGAUGACAAGGUCUUCCAGAUUGCUAGAGCUCUUGGUCCAAAAUAUGCCGAUUUCAAAACGGCAAUGCUUGCUAAACCACUACUGCCCACCUUUAAGCAAUUCAUCCUUGCUCUUCAUAAUCACGAGCAAACUGUUGUUGUUCACAAGGAGGAAGAAAAAUCCAUUAUGGAUCAUAAUCAAGCCUUUUUUAGACAAAGAGGGAGAGGCUGAAAUCAAAGGGGAGGCAGACAUGGAGGUCGCAGCAGAGGUUCACAACAAAAUAAUGGAUCGAAAAAUGCUCAAAGCAACCAGCAGCAUCAACCACGACAAAAAAUAAUAUUGAAACCAACAAAACAAAUCAGCAAAAUGUGAUUUAUUGUCAAAUCUGUGGUAAGAAAGGUCACUCAGCCGCUGUUUGUUGGGACAUGUAUAAAUAUUAUAAGGAUGAGGUUCCACAAGCCCUUGGGACUGUCAACUUGAACCAAACUGACGAUCAAAUUUACGCUGACUCAUGGGCAACCUUUCACAUAAUCAACAAUCCAGGUAAAUUAAAGACAAUCGUUCCUUACAAAGGCCAUAAUAAAAUCUUUGUAGAGAAUGGACAAGGUCUUCAAAUAUCUCAUAUUGGUAAUACCUCUUUAAAAAUUGAUUAUGGAGAUUUACAUUUGAAAAACGUUCUUGUGGUUCCAAAAAUUAAAAAAAAAAUCUCCUGUCAGUUGGACAACUUGCUAAUGAUUCUCAAUGUUCUUUUGUGUUUAAUUAUGAUGGUUUUUUUUGUCAAGAACAAACAAAACCAAGUGGUAGCAAUGAGGCAUAAGAAAGGCAACCUAUAUGCACUGGAUGAAGUAAAUAAAGUAGCUCUAAGCGCAAUAAGAGGGAAUACUGCAGAAUCAAAUUUGUGGCAUAUGAGACUUGGGCAUCCAAGUAUUAAAGUCCUACAAAUUCUCUAUAAUAAUAGGAAAACCAAUAUUUCCAAAUGGAUAAAAAUACCCAAAAUUUGUGUAUCUUGUCAAUUAGGAAAGAGUUUUAAAAUUCCUUUUUCUACUUCUAAUAAAAUCUCGGUUGUUCCUUUGCAUAAGAUACACUGUGAUUUAUGGGGUCCAACUCCAAUUAACUCUAAUCAAAAUUUUUGAUUUUAUGCAUUAUUUAUAGAUGACCAUACAAGAUUUUCCUGGCUAUUUCCACUACAACGAAAAGCUAACUUCUUUGAUUGUUUCAUACGAUUUCAGAAACAGGUGGAAACACAAUUUGAAAGAAAGAUUAAAGUGUUUUAAUGUGAUGAAGGGGGAGAAUUUUCUUCUAAUGCUUUUAUAAAGCAUCUUGAUGAUUGUGGCAUCAUAUGACAAAUAUCAUGCCCAUAUACUCUAGAGCAGAAUGGAGUUGCUGAGAGAAAACAUAGGCAUAUUGCCGAAACAGCCUUAACUCUCAUGUUUUGUGCCUCACUUCCUCUCAAACUUUGGGCAGAUAUUUUUGUAGCCGCAACUUAUUUGAUAAAUAGGAUGCCGUUGUCUACACUUGAAAUGAAAUGUCCAUAUGAAAAACUCUUUAAAAAGACUCCUGAUUAUGUUGGAAUUAAAGUUAUUGGGUGCAAAUGUUUUCCUUAUUUAAGGAACUAUAACAAGACAAAAUUUGAUGGAAAAACUUUCCCAUGUAUUUUUAUAGGUUAUAGUUCCUUACAUAAAGGAUAUAGAUGCUUAAAUCCUAUGACUAAAAGAGUCUAUAUUUCUCGGCAUGUCAUUUUUUAUGAAACGAUUUUUCCGUUUUCUAACAAAAAUAAGUUUGUUGAAUGCAUGCAGGAACCAAGUCAACUUACAACGUUUCCAUUUUAUAAUGAAUGGCUAAAUUGCCCUAACUCAAUUAAAACCCAUGAUUUUAUGAAUCUUGCCCUUAGUCAAAAGCCACUUCCAUCUUUUCAAGAAGACCACAUGACGCCCACUCAAAUGCAAACUCCUUUGUCCAACUAUGACAGCCAUGUUAUUCGCACACUAGCUACAUUACAGGAAAAGCAGAAAGAUACUAUUGUUGCAGAAGAUCAAAGCGACAACAACUUGACUGCCUCAUUAAAUGAAUCAAUCUCAGAAGAGCAAAACUGCAACAACACUGCCACUUCAUCUACCAAAGUAACCAACUCAGAUAAAAUUCAAACCGAGAACUCCUUAUCAACUGACUUGACCAGCUCAGAUAGAACCCAGACCGAGGAUCCAUUUUCAACAAAUCAAAAAAAUUAUUCUGAUAUCUCUGGAAAGUUAUUAGUUGAUUUUUCGAGUUACACUAAAAAUCAACCAACCACCUUAUCUGACAUAUCAGGUAAUCCAGUCGUUGAUCUCACGAGACCACAACAAUUACAAACAAAUCUAUCAUCAUCUCAAAAUACUCAUUCCAUGAUAAGCCGACAAAAAGCCAACAACAAUCAUAACCUAGCAUUACAAGCCUCUCAAAACCAACCAAUUGAGCCAAAAACUUUAAAAUCGGCUCUCAAGAAUCCCAUAUGGGUUACGGCAAUGGAAGAAGAAAUUAAGGCUUUGCAUGACAAUAAUACUUGGCAUCUUGUUCUUCGUCCUAUUCACAAUAUUGUAAUAGGAUCAAAAUGGGUUUACCGGAUCAAAUACAAAGAAGAUAGGACGAUUGAUAGGUACAAGGCACGUCUCGUUGCCAAGGGAUUCACACAAAUCUCAGGAGUGGACUUUGAUGAGACCUUUAGUCCUGUCAUAAAACCAACCACUAUUCGACUGGUUAUGGCAAUUGCAGUGAGUUCAAAAUGGCCAAUGAAGAAAUUAGACGUCAAGAAUGCUUUUCUUCAUGGCAAAUUAAAAGAAACAGUGAACAUGGAGCAGCCCCCGGGUUUCAAAAAUCCUAAUCUAUCAUCAUUUGUCUGUAAACUAAACAAGUCCAUUUAUGGGCUCAAGUAAGCUCCACGCACCUGGUUUGAAUAUCUUUUUAAAGCAUUAUUUAAACUAGGCUUUGUUAAUAGUAAAUCUGAUUCAUCUUUGUUUAUUUUACAGGACAAGGGAGUACUCAUUUUGCUUUUGAUAUAUGUAGAUGAUGUUAUAAUAACAGGAAAUAACUCUUCUGUUAUUCAAUCGAUCAUCUUAACAUUAAGUACAAUCUUGCACUGAAAGACCUUGGGACACUUCGGUAUUUUCUUGGGAUAGAAAUCAAAUAUUUCCAAAAUGGGGUAUUUUUAUCUCAAACUAAGUAUACACAAGAUUUACUAUCAAAGACAAAGAUGCUUGAUUGUACUCCUGUGGCAACACCCAUGGCUAUAAAAACAACUACAAAUCUUAAGGACAGUGAACCUGUGAAUGCUACAGAAUGUCGAGGCCUAGUUGGUGGCUUACAAUAUUUGACCUUUACAAGGCCGGAUAUAACAUACGCUGUAAAUAAAGUAUGCCAGCACUUCAAUGAUCCAACCAAGGCAGAUCUCAAAGCAGUAAAAAGGAUCCUUCGAUAUCUCAAAGGAUCAUUAAACUAUGGCAUUCGUUUUUUGUCUCAAAGUUCAUUAACACUAUACUCCUUUUCUGACUCUGAUUGGGCAGGUUGUCCCGAGACUAGACGAAGCACCACAGGUUAUUGUGUCUACUUAGGAGCAAACUGCAUUUCUUGGAGCUCAAAGAAGCAAACCACCGUAGAAAGAUCAAGUGCCGAAGCAGAAUAUCGAUCAAUGGCCACCACUGCAGUUGAGAUCACAUGGAUUCAAUUUCUUCUUCGCAAAAUUGGUCUCACAAUGAACAAGAAAACACUUCUAUUGUGCGACAAUAUGAGUGCUCUCUACAUGACCAAAAAUCCGGUCUUCCACGCGAGGACAAAGCAUAUCGAGCUCGACUUCCACUUUGUUCGAGAAAGGUCGCGCAAGGAUCCAUCUUCACAAGGCAUGUACCUUCAUCACGGCAAAUUGCGGUGUGUUCACAAAAUCAUUAAGCAAAUACCAAUUCCAAAACUGCCGCAACAAGUUAGGAGUCCAUCCCAUGGACAUUCCAAACUUGAGGGGGGUUGAUAAGAUUCCUUCGUUAAUGCCAAAAGAUCAGCCAAUAGAUUAUCACUCGUUAAUGCCAAAAGAUCAUCCAACAAAUUAUAAAUCAUAUCUUCAAUCAGCAAAAUCAUCUCAUCAAAGUUACAUAUGUAAAGGACUCCUUGACAAGCUCUCAAACGGUCACAAUAUCCCAGGAUGUACGGUACAGCAGACCAAUCAAGUUCAGAGAGUUUGUAAAGCAAUAACAUAUUUCUUUUGCAAUUGUCUUGCAUAUUAUUUCUUUAGAAAGGACGGUACAGAAGCGUCCUUAACUAUAGCAUUAGCUUGUAUUUCAAAAUGCAAUAUGCACCAUCAGCGGUGUCUUUUUUAUUCAUGCUUGGGAAAUAGUGGUUAUUUUCCAAGGAAGAUCUACAAGAACUCAAUAUUGUUUCUUAUGUUUUUUGCAUAAUAUCUGCCAUGUCCUGAAAAACAAUGUUGUCUUAUUCAGGUUAUUAGUUUUGACAUAUUUGUAGAAUGUGAUGGUUGAACUCUUUGUUGCAGCUUAGUCUUAAAUUAGGACUUAAUUACAUCUCAUUUAAAUUUGGGAUUUAAUAUGAAUAUGUAUUUGCAUAUACUAUUCUAUUUUACAUUUUUAUGUGCAUGUAUUGAUAUGGAUGAUCUCCCCCCCGCCCCCCUUCUAAAUUCUAUUCUGCUGUCCUCAUUCUUUUUCUCACCCUUCUAUUUAUUUAAUAACUUUUAUUACGACCUUUCUUUAGUUUUAAUUCUCAUUGGUUUAUGUAAUCUUCUCCGGAGUCAUUGAGGUUCAUAUAUAUAUAUAUAUAUAUUUUCCUUGUUCUUCAGAUAACCGGGCUCAAGGUAAUUAGCGUCCAAGUGGUGAAAGAUAAGUUGGCACCCGCAAUGAAGAAAGCCGACCUCACGAUAGAGUUUGGCAAAGGCUUCUACUGUGUACCCUAAAUUUUCGAAUCGGCAUGCGAACGUGGAAUCAUUCAGAAGGAAGAACACAAUGAAACGGGAGGUUUUCAAUGAUAGACAUCAAGCUGAACAGUAUUUGAUUGAAACUACUGAGGUUCUUAACAAGAUAAUCAUGAUCUUGAGGAAAAAUUUGCUCGAAAGGCAUUGACUAUAUAAAGUAUUCCGAGAUGAUCGAGCUGGGUCAGGUCAAUGCAAAUAUCGGAUCAAUACAAAUAGAAGAGGACUUGAAAGUGGUGUUAUGCCAACAAUCGGAGAAUUUGACCUGCACAUAAAUGGUUUCUGGAGAUUUGGCCAUACCAAGCAUAUCCCUUAGAACCAAACGAAACUCGGUGUUGUUGAUGCUCUUCAUUGGGACUCAAAAUUACUCUGCUGAGUGCUUAGGGUGAGAGAUUUGUACUAGUUCUUCAUGCUCUUCUAAUGGGCUUUUCCAUUGCCUUGAUUGUCUUUAACUGUUAGGCUGCUUAGGGUCCAUAUUUAUCGUCCCCAAAAAAUUGUAAUCAUUUAGGCAUUGUACAUAGGUGGCGUAAUUCAAAAAUAUUUGUCCAAGUUCUUGUAGUUCACUAGUUCAUAACCUUUGGGGCAGACUUGUCAAGUGGUCAUUUCCUUCUUUCUUUUGUGUUUUAGGCUCCCUCUGGUACUGAUGUUGGUGGGGAUAAGCAUGUCGGGUUCGGUUUGGGAAAAUUAAGAUAAAUGAUGGAGCUAUUAGCAUCCCUUCCAAAAAUCUUAUAAAACCCAUUACUUAGCCACUUACCAUUUAGACCUUAAUUUCAAUUAUAUUCUAAAAAAAAAAAUUUAUUAAACCCAUCUUAAUACUCUAAGGGCGUAUUUUAUCCUUUGAUUAUAAACAUGUAAUAUUUAUAAUUUUUAUUUAAAAAUCAUAUUUAUCUUAUAUUAUUAUUACCUCCACCAAACAAACGGAGUCUCGACAGUAUAGAAAUAUUAAAUUUGUUAAUACAGACGACAGAGACAUAUAUCUAAUUGUAACUCAACCCCGUUAUUACUCAAGUCUUGUUGACUAUUAUUUAAUAGCAUGAUUUGCGGUUGUGAUCACCUAGUCUAAACUCUAUAAACCAUAGUCAAGCAGCCAGCUGUCUGAGUGAAAUUUAGUUAUCGCUUGACUUUGACAUUAACACAUCCACAGAAUGAGAUAAUGAAUUGAUGAUACCAACAAAUUUGAGCGUUCUAUUUUCCACAUAACAAGAUAGCAGAGUAGCACUCAAUUCGGAAUUUGGGAUUCAGCUGCCCCAAUUGAGCACGUUUCUGGAAAAACAGACAAAUACAAUGAAAGUGGCAGUUUGGCAUCAUUAUUUGUUACAGCUAAUAAUAAAGACUUAAAUGACUUCUAUCUUUUAUGACUCUAAUUGAUUUUGGUCUAUUUUAUAUAUCCCGGAUAUUUCUCAAUGAAAAGUAUGAUAAUAUGUAAAAACUAAAUUAUGAAAAAUAAAUGUUGAUCCUCUGCUAAUCUAUUUCCAAAAUUUGCAACACUCCCAUCGAGAGAGGAAUUAGCAUGUCAUCAUGAUCAUAGAGUAAGUUGAGAAAUUUAAUUUUUUUUAUUAUUACAUUUUGAUACAUUAAUUAAUCAUGUGAACACCAAUAAAUGUACCAUAUCAAUCAUCUGUUGAAGCAAGUAGUAUAAGGUUUGAAUCCAUGUUCAGAUGAGUGGAAAGAGAAUUGAAUUGCUGUUAGGUUUAAAUUAAAAAAACAAAUUCAAACUGUAGAAGCCAUGACGAUCGAUGUGUUGAUCAACGUCCUUCUCAACAAGUUAUAUUACAAGGCAGCAUCAGCAUGCGUAGGCAAUGAGGCAUGCAUUUUUUUUUUAAGUAUAUGUACUAGAUAAAUUAUAUCGAAUAGCAAAUUAUUUUUUACUGCACUUUCGAUCGGUAUACAUGAUCUUAAACUAAAAAGGUGGGUUAGGGCUCAAUGUCACGGACCACUCAAAUUCUGGGACAAAGAGAUUAAAUGCACAAGCCAAGAUGUGCUAGCUUGACUUGAUGCUAGAAGGUUCCAGCUCUAGUCAAGAAUGGCAACCUAAGUAGACAACAAAUUAAUAUUAAAGCUACCAAGCAGCUCCAAAAUGAGGACGUCUACAUAUUUUGUAAUUGAGUAUAUCAAUCUUUUAGUUACAAGUUUUUACAUGUGUCGGUGUAUUUUUUAAAUUAUCAAUCAUACAAAUACAAUAUAAAUUAAAAUAAAGUAAUUGGAUAUCGAUGCAUGAUCACGUUGAGUCGUCGACAAUACAAAUAAGAAAGGAGACUUGUUCCAUUUUCUAACACCAUAUUAAAAAAGAACCAAGUUGUUGAGUAAUUGAACGUCUACGAAUAUGAACACCACAAAUAUGGAGGAAGUUGCAGUAGGGCACUGCCAACGAGUCAAAAGAUAGUGACAUGCAUGCUCAAGAAAAUUAUUAACCUCAGGACUUUUCAAAGAACCCAGCAAGUUGUUAGAUUAAUUUGUUUCGACCAUUCAGGUUGUCAUUAUUAUCAGUGUAAAAUUUUUUAUUUUUUUUUCUUCCACUAUGGUUCAUGGUCAUGGUGAUUUUCCUCUAUAAAUGGGCUGGCAAGAAUUGGUGUUAGUAUAACACACUUUGCAAUUUCGUUUAUCUCUAUGGCUAAGUUCUUUUCCUCUCUCAAUACCCCUUCAAUGGCUCCAGUCGUCUUGUUUCUUCUUGGGCUGCUAAUGGCUACCUUAGAUACAACAAGUAUAUAUCUUAAUUUCUCGAGAAAAUGAUCAAAACCUCUUUGUUGUUCAUAAAAAAUUUAAUUUCUUUUAAUGUUUCAAAAUCUAUCAAAUUCGCUUUCAAGAGCUUGACCAAGUAGUUUUUAAGCAAUGUUUUAGCUGAUCCUCGAUGAUCGAAUAUGGAAGUGAUAGUGACUAAAAACUGAUUUUGCACUUUAUCCAUUUCCUACUUUUUUUUCUUUUAAUCCAUCAAAACAAACCCGUACGUUAUCAUUCAAUUUUCUGUGUUUUAAUAAUACUUUUUUUUUUUUUAUACCUAUUGUGUUUUAAUAAUACUUGACCUAUUACAACUUUUUUUUAUAAACAUUGAGUUUUAAUUAGUGUUUACCACAUCAAGGGAAAAAAAUAUUAAAAGCAUAAAACAAGUUAGAAUUUAACAUUUUUUUUUUUUUAAAGACAGAAUUUUUGAAAUAUACGGUGCGAAAUGAUUACUUUACCGAGACCCAACGUAACCAUUUGAUCGUUUUCCCUAUCCUUCUCUCUAUCCAUGGAUUAAUAUUAUUCAUUAACUACUAUUAUAAGUUCUUAAUUUGUUCAUUAUCUAUAUAUUGCAUUUUACAGGUGCCCAAAUAGGUGUUUGCUAUGGAAUGCUUGGUAACAACUUACCAUCAAAACGAGAUGUCAUAGCUCUCUACAACCAAAACAACAUCAGAAGAAUGAGACUAUAUGAUCCAAACAGAGAAGCACUCGAAGCUCUCAGAGGCUCCAACAUUGAAGUCAUGUUGGGCCUUCCCAACAACGACCUCCGAAGAAUCGCUUCCAAUCAAGCCGAAGCAAACACUUGGGUCCAAAACAACGUCCGAAAUUUUGCUAACAAUGUCAAGUUCAAAUACAUUGCUGUAGGAAAUGAAGCAAAACCUGGAGAUAACUUCGCUCAGUACCUUGUUCCCGCCAUGAGAAACAUACAAAACGCCAUCAACGGAGCCGGCCUUGGAAACCAAAUCAAGGUUUCCACUGCCAUCGAAACUGGAGCUCUUGGCGAAUCUUUCCCUCCGUCAAGAGGCUCAUUUAAACAAGAUUACAGACCCAUUCUUGAUCCCCUCAUUCGUUUCCUCAACGAAAACAGAUCCCCCUUGCUUCUCAACCUGUACCCUUACUUCGCAAUUGCUGGUAACCGCCAAAUAUCUCUGGAUUAUGCACUAUUUAGGUCACAACAGACGGUCGUUUCCGACGGAUCGUUAAGUUACCGAAGUCUUUUUGACGCCAUCUUGGAUGCUGUUUACGCCGCGCUGGAGAAAACCGGCGGGGGGUCGCUGGACAUCGUGAUAUCGGAGAGCGGGUGGCCGACGGCUGGUGGGGACGGAGCGUUAGCGAAUGUUGAUAAUGCAAGGACUUAUAAUAAUAACUUGAUACAACAUGUGAAGCGAGGGUCACCAAAGAGGCCAGGAAGGCCUAUUGAGACUUACAUAUUUGCUAUGUUUGAUGAGAAUGGCAAAACGGGACCUGAGAUUGAGAGGCAUUGGGGACUUUUUGCUCCAACUAGGCAGCCUAGAUACCAGAUUAAUUUUAAUUAAUUAACCAAGCUAAAGCAGCUGCAUGCACCAACAGGAUUCGAGGUAAUAUUUAUAAUGGAAUAAAUUCUACCAUAUGUACUAGUGAAUAAGAGUUUGGAUCACCACCUUGUAUGGGUGCAUGAGGGCAAAUUUCGUGAACAAUUAAUAAUGUCAAUGGUUACGGUUUUGCAAAGCUUAAUUUAUAAUACUACGUCCGAUCCUCAUUUGUGUACAACGUGUAAGACAAUUUAAAGGGAUGAUUGAUGUUGAAUAACAAUUUUAUCUACAGGCUUAAAUUAAAACUAAAUGGUUAUCAUAUUGAAAACAAAACUGAAUUGAAUUUGAAAUUUUAGUUUGGUUCAGGGUAAAUUGAAACUAUGUGUCCAGUCCUCUCCUUCUCUCUCUCUCUCCAAGUGAAUUUGUAUGGCCAACUAAAGAAAUUAAAUUGCUUGAAAAUCAUUUGGUCAAGUCC
rnacentral:lncRNA from 1 species